rnacentral:lncRNA from 1 species
UUCCAACUCCAUCUUCCAUAAGGCGCUUCCAUGCCUUUUCCAGCAUUGUUUCCUGACCAAUCGUAGGCCCAGUAGGCCUUUCUUCUACUGCAGAUCUCAAAACCGGCUCAGUAACCUCUUUAAAAUUACCCUCCGAUUUGAGUUUCUUAACCUCUUUCAGCAACAAGAAUACCUUUUUCCCAUAUUUGUAGCUGGAACAUACACUUUUUGAAGAUAAACCACAGAGACAUAACUUCUUAAGCUCAACAGGACUAGUACUAAGCAGAUUAUUGAAUCGUGUAUCGAUGCUCUCGACACGUGUUAGCCAUACCUUGACAGCUUCAAGCCUUUGUUGAUGUUGUGCCUCCUCUCUCGCUACUUUGUUCUUCACCUCAGCUUCAAUUGCCUUGAGAUCAUCCAUUUCCCUCUUCAGAGCCCUGAGAUUCUCCUUGAGGUUUCGAAUAUAACCUUUGCCACAUAAGAAUCUAAAGAUACGAUUGAGAUCACCACCAGUAAGUUGGAUAGGAUUACAACUCCCCAUGUCGAUAGAAAGAGAGAAAACUUUGAGUAAGCAACAAACGAAAGCUAAAGAUGAAGAAGUGUUUUAUGUGAAAAGCAUUUUACAAGUGACGAAGGCAUAUAUGAUUUGUUAUCUGUCGGUCCUCUUUGGUUUCUAAUUUCCACCACUCCCACAUAUGCAUCGACUGAUACGAUUCACAUGAAAAAUGAAAAGCCACACAAUUUCUCUAUGGUGAUAGAAAGAGAAUAUUUCUGAAGCUGAAGAAGUUUUUAUUGUCAAAAAUAUCAUUGGAGAUAAGAUAACACAUCUUUCUCCAAUACGGGUGGUUAGGAGAUUUUCCAAAGGGAAAAAAAAAAAUUGCUUACGAAAGACUUUGACUAUUCUAAUAUCCGACCAUAGAUUUUACGAGUGAAGACUUUGCUCAAACUUAUUUCAAGUCAACUAAAGUCCUAUCUUCUGCUCUUAUGUUCUUCGUUUGGCGCUUGUAGCUGUCAAUUUGUUAGCCAUGUUGGCUUUGUUAUUGUUUGUAAACAAGUCUUCCUCUAAUGGAGCGUAGCUAAUCUAUAAAAUCUCAUUUGAGCAAAAAGAAAAUUAAAAGGAAACCCAAGUCUAAGGUGACAGAAACGUGGAUUGGUCAAGUAGUGGAGAUGAUUAAGUAAUCAUUGUCUGUUAUGCCCAAAGUAGCUUACGAAGUGGAGUCUUCUUUUGCGUUGAAAUCCUAUACGAUUAUUGUGUUGUGCCGAUUCUAUUUUUUCGUUAGUCUCUCUGUAGUAGAAGAACAUACCUUAGAUUUAGGCAUUGCCUGUUUAUGAUUUCAUUUAGAUUCAUGUUUCUUUUUAGCACCCUAUUGAGAAUUUAUUAUGUGCUACUUGAGAUAAAUCUGGGUUUGAAUUCUUUAAGUUGCUCAUUAAUGGAGUUUUAGUCAUGUCUAAGAGUAGAAAGUAUAUAAAAGCUUUUAAAAAAAGACUUGAUGAAUGGCAGAAAGAAUAUGAUCAGGGAGUUUUAUAAAGCUGAGGAUGAUGAAAAAUCGAACAUACAAAGUAUUUUGCCAUGUCUAAAACCAGAAUGUCCUACUGCCAAAUCUGUUGGGUAGUAGAACUUUUCUAGUCAAUGCGGUGGCAAAUCGAAUCUGGGGGAAGAAGUGUAAGAUUUUUUCUCGAAAACUUGGUGAAACUUCUUAAUGUUGUAUCACGUAUUGUUGUUCCAUGGACUUCCGCUGCCACUUUAAUAUAUAUUUUUAUCGUCCCAUUCAUUUCUUGCUGAACAAGAAACCCAAAUGUGGAAAGAAAAGAAGAAGAAAUUGUUUGUGAUUUUAUCCUUUGAAGAUCAAUACACAUAUGUUUUUACAUUUUUAAAUAAUGAAAUUAAUCCCCCAAAUACAUGCAUGACUUUUCUAAUAAUUUUUUAUUAUGUUGUUCCAAUUUGUGUUUGUUGGGUGUAUGAUAUAUUAUGAUGCAAAUGGAGAGUAUCAGUCUAAAUAAGGGUGCAUACUUCAAGCUAUUCUAGAGCAAACAAGUAAGAAACUUUAGAGAUGAAAAAAAACAACUCAAGCGGAAGAGUAUAAGAGAACUGAUUACCAGAUGGAUUAAAGGCAAGAAACGUUUUUGGUAUCUUCGUCCUCCCAUUCAAGCUCAGUUUAUCUCUUCUCCAGGACCCAUACCUAUUGUAAACCAGGCAAUUCGUGGGACACUUGUAGCAUCUAAGGGAAGCUUUCUCAGCUGUGGACACUCUUCUACUGUUAAUUUUUGCAAUAACAGUAGAUACUCUCCGGCUUAAGCAAAUUUCUUAUCGAAAACACUUCUAGUUUCUGAAACGGUGUAAUACCUCUAACUGUAAGAUUGACUUCUUUCUCUUUGCUUAUAAUAAUAUCUUCUACUUCUUCUGAAUAUCCACGUAGACGACAAGAUUUGGAGCAAACAGUGGAUUUCUAAGUUCUCUAGUUUGGGAAAUUUCGUGGCUUAUGAUGAACAAGUUGGGGUUUACUGAAAUUGAGUUCUGGUUUAAUCAAGACUGGUUAUAUCAUUAAUUCUUUAAGCCGGUUAAAGCAGUAUUAUGGUUCUAUUUUGGAAGUGGGUUCACUGACAUUGAUUUUUUUUGUUUUGUUUUAUAAUUUAAUUCAUUUUCAUAGAUGAAUUUGAAAGGUUACAGCGCAAAUAAACCUCAGACCGGUGAUCAGGUGAAACAUGAAAGAUAAAAUUAUGUAUAAGCUUUCCAGCAGUCAAAUCCCAUACCUAUUGGAUAUGAUCAAAUAUUAUAUCAAUUGUUAGAAACACAUACGUUGGGGAAAAGAGAAUGCGCAAGAUCCAUUUAUAGAUAUUGCAGUGCUUACCUUUACAACAUUGUCAAGUCCUCCAGUCACUACAAAAUUUACAACAUACGUUGGAGUAAAUUUGAUAGUGUUGAUGCCACGAGUAUGACCCUUGUACCUCUGUAUGCAUCCCUUCUUUCUGAUGUCCCAAAUCUUCAAAUUCGUGUCACUUGAUCUAUGAUGCCAAAAAUUCACCAAAUGGAUGAAAUUCAACAGCAGAACAAUUGGAUCUAUGUCCAGUAAAAGCUCGAACCACUACACUUCAAGAGUAAGAGUGAACAUGUUAGACCUCAUAAUUCUAAAGUAAACGAUAGAUAUGGUGUGGUACACUGCUCAAAUAUCAGGACCCAUAAUCAACAUCUAACUCAAUCGGUAUCUCUAUAUGUUCCCAUUUGAUGAAACUAGCUAGGCAUAUAAGGAGCAACAAGUAUUCUAAAGGAGAGCAGAAAAUCAAUCAACUAACUCUUUGCUUCUUCUAGAUCCCAAAGCUUUCUCACACCCGAAGAAGCUCCACCAAGCACCAAAACUUCUGCCGAGUCAAAAGCUACUGAAUCCACUGCACUAGUAUGUCCACAUAAACUCUGCAAACAACUCAAGAAAUGAAUAUAGCAGCACUCUUCUAUAUAAAAAACAAUACACACUUUUUGCUCAACAAGGAGGAAAAAUUUAGACAAGAGAGAAAACGUGAAACACACCAUUAAAGAAGUAGGCUUGCCGAUCGCCCAAAGGUUGACAUUGUAAUCAUCACCACCAGUAAUAAGGAGCCGUGAUGUCUUCUUUCCGAUACUUAAGCAAUUUACAUUUGCAGAAUGUGCCAAAAACUCCUCUACGUUUCCAAAAUCAAGUCAAGGUAUAAGCAAACACCAGACAAGAACAGCUAAAGAAAGGAGCAGCCUUUGAAGCAACUCGACAGCAAAACAUAAAGCAGGUCAUAAAUGGAGAGAAGUACUUUCACAUACAAAACAUAUCCAGAAAAUAUCCAUUUUCUAUCAUAUUGAGCAGCCAGUGAUAGAAACAUUUGACCCGGAAUUAAUUUCUGCUAAAAUCUUGAAAUGCUAAUCAAAACUUGAAGCUUAUCAAUAGCAAACUAAGCUUUGCUCUUGGGAGUUUUUAAAGAUAAAACCCUAACGAUUCGGUGAUUUAAAAAAAAAAAAAAAAAGACGACAAAAAUUUCUCAGGAUGGAGCUAAAAAUCCAGAGUUCGUUCAAUUUUACUCAGCUUAAGAAUCAACAACAUCGCCAGGAAUAUAAAAGGAUACGCAGCUUAUAUCCACGCUUCGCCAUUUUCUACUCGAUUUCCAGCAAAUCCGUGGGAAUCAAUGGAAUCCGAAUCUCUAGCUUCCGUAAUCGAUCGAAAAAACGGUGAAUCGGAGCUGAAAAAAAAAUCCCAAUUGUCACUACACGACAGAGCUCGAGAUUUUCGGGAAAUUCAAAAGGAGAAACACGGAGGUUGCUUCCCGUUGAGAUUUCAAAUCUAGAACGUGAGAAAAGAAUCAAAUUCCGGGAACAAGAAUUUUGAAGGAAACGAGAUAAUCAGAGAUUCAAAUAGUGACACGGAGCAGAAAGAAAAAAAGAAACAGAAGAGAAGAAGAAAAAUGGUAAAGCGAAGGAAGUUUUUUAUGUUGUCAAUAUUAUUCGAUAGGUGAGGAAGCACCUCAUCAUCUCUUGGAUUUGUUUGUUUCCUAAAGACAUUGUCAACCUUAUAUAUAUAAAUAGGGUAAUUAAGCGUAGUGUUUUGUUUGGUAAGACAUAAUAUUAUACAUAUAUAACAUUUAAAUACUCGAAUCAAAGAGAUAAUUAAGAAAUUUUGAAUCAAAGCCUAUAACAUAGUGUCUAGAAAAUCAAUAAAAAAUCUUUAAAUGAUUUAGAUAUUAAAAUCAAUUUUUAAAAAUAUUUCUCAAAAUUUUGUGGAUAAAAUAAUCUAAACGAGAAUUGUUUUCAUUGUUUUGUAUAAUAUUUCGAAAAUUGAAAGUAGACUAAAUUAUGUAGAAAAGAAGAAUCUACGACCGCUAACAAACACCUGAACACGAAAUUCAUUAUGAUUAAACAAAUAUCAAACUUUCUUUUUUUCCAACAUUAGUAUCAUGUUUUUCAUGUCAGUCAGUUUCUAUGUUGCUUCUCAUCUUUAGAUGCUUUAGUAUUUCUCAAUGUUUUUAAACCCGACCCGGACAACGACCCGAAGUAUUCUUCGGAUUGUCGGUUAACUGGAUUGACCUGGAUUAAUCCGGGUCAACCGCGGAUCAACUAAGUAUAUAUAUUUGUUAUGUUUUUUAAUAAAUUUUAUCACUUUUGUUACAUUUUUUUUAAUGUAAAAAAAUACAAAUUUUUGCUAAAAAGUUUUGUCACUAAAUCGCAUUAAUUAUUAUAUAUCUUUUUCUAUAUAAUUUUUUUUAAUAAAAUUAAAUUAAAAUAUACACUAAAUAUAGUGAUCAUAUUAACUAUAUUUUUGAACAUUUUUAAUUAUAUAUUUUUUCCUUUUAUUUAUUUUCUUUUUUAAACAGUUAAUUUUUUACUAGAAAAUUUGAUAUUACAAAACUUACAAUUGUAUAAUGGUGAGAAAAUAACAAACUAUUCAAUAAAAUAUAGAAAAACAAACUGUUAUUACUACUAAAAACAUUCAAAUAAAAGUAUAUUAAUUGUCUCUAAAAUCCAAAAAUAAUGUAGAAAAUUUUAGCAAUAUUUUUUGAUUUUGUUACCACCUCAUUUUUUCCAUCUUCUGUUAUUGUAAGUGCUCUGCAUCUUGUUCUAAUUUUGUUUUCUAAAACUGUAUUUUUUUUUUAAAAAAAUAUCAUAUAUUCAUAAAUAAAUUUAUAAAACUAUUAAUUUUUUUCCAAACCAGAAACCCAUCCAGAUCGGGUUUUUGCCGGUUCACCGAGUUUAAGCGGGUUUUUCUGGAUUUAAGCGGUUUAAUAGCAUUUUGGGUUUCAACAAAAACUAAACCGGAAAUUUUACCAGGUCACGGUUUAACCGGUUAAACCGUCCGGUCCGAUCUGGGUCUGAAAACAUUGGUAUUUCUCUUACAACUAUGCUCAUGGUAUUUAGUGGUUGGAUGAUUUACUUUAAGAUUAGAAUACUAAUAAUUUGAAUAUUCUUACAACAAUUUCAACUGUAGUUGAAAUCUGAAGCCAUAUUAAAUGAUAAAUAUACUCAGUUUUUAAUUAUUCACAAACUACAAAAAUUAGUCUAGAUUUCGAUAUAGAAUUUUAUAAUUAUCAAUAUUUUCUUCUUCUUUUCCUGAUAGCAUAAGCUUUUAUUGUUUAUUUUUAGUUAAAAAAGAAAAUAAAGUAUAGCAAAUUAAACACAUUAUUGAAACAAAUGUUAGGAAUCUUAUACUGAAUAUUUGAUAGAACCCAAAGUAAUAUAUAAGUGAAAUGGAUCAAUCCGCACCAAUUAUUUUUAAAUCAGAACCCCAUAAAACGUAAUGUGGUAGCGGAAUCCAAAUUUUGUUGACUUACGGUAGUAAUAUAUAAGUGAAAUUAAUCAAUCUGCUAAUUACCAGCUACUUUUAAAUCAGAAUAUCAUAACGUAAUGUGGUAGCAUAAUCCAACUUUGUUGAUUUAAGUAGGAUAGCCCGAAUAAGAAAUAUUGUAGUUCGUGUAUGGCAUACUGCAAAUCUUAGAAUAUGUUUUGGUUUGAGUCUUCAAGAUGUGCGAGAUAGUUAUCAUCUAGAGGAAAUGGACUUAAAGAACUAUAUAAGAGAUACACUCAUAAUUCAUAUAUACCAGAAUCCAUUUUAUUACCAAUUUUUUUUUAGUUAGAACCUAUAAAACUUAGAAACAUAUAUCAUGAUAUAGAAUCAAAGGUCAUCUCACUAAAAAUUAUUAUGCUCACAUAUGGUUUAGUUAUUCAAAAAAAUAAAUAAUCAAACAUACGAAUUAACCAAAAUAUAGUCUUAAAAGUUUUAGGUCUGCUAAAAUGUUUUUUUUAGGUGUUACUAUGCUAAGCUUCAAAUUGUAUUGUAUUCACUCUUCAGUAUAAGACUAAUGAACAUUUAAUUUACAAUUUUGAAUUUUCUAAUGGAGUAGACCGAGAUCAGGCCCAGGCUAUAACCGCUUCUUACAGGCUAUUGAUGCAAUCAAAUGUUACAAAUUGCGAACGGCUAUUUGCUUUGUGUUAGCAUUGGUCCAUUGAAUUUUAAUUUUUUUUUAUAAUAUAUUGAGUCAUAUGUAAAUACUAGAUGCCUGGUACCGGUUCUUAUCAGCUUCGCUGCUUUGUAUAUAGUCGCCGUCUGCAAGAAUCAUUCUGAGAAAUGCUAGACAAGAGUGAGAAAGACAAUUUUGUAAAAGAAAGAAGAUUGAGUUUUGCCAGAAACUACUCUACAAGAUUGUUGUAGUUUCUGGACACGCAGCUAAUUCAAACGACGAACCAAUGUUCAAGACCGGUGGGUGGUGAAUAAUUGAGCGUAUCAAUUAAGCUUGCGAAUUUGUUUUUUUUUUUUUGGCUGAAGAUUUGUUCUUGGGUUCUUGUUUUAAUGUUCUUAAUGUGGUGAAGCCAUUAGGAAAGGAAUGUGAAAACUCUUAAAAUUAAGAAGACUCUUUCCAUGUCUUCUUAAGCGAAGUUGUCUCUAGUUAUUGCCCCAAAUCAGAAAGCCACUAGACAUAGUUUAGGAUUAGAUGGAAGUCAUAGCGUCUUCAGAUUAGGUUUAGGGGAUUUAAAUUAAAGAGUCUGAAAAACAGGAUCUUCAUGAUUUAGCAAAAUCAUAUAACUUUUCAUCUUGAUUCCUCCUGUUAACAACAGAAACACACUGCAAGAUGAAAUAGAAAAAGCUACAGGUAGAGGAAUUUGAUUUUGGAUAGUGAGGAAUCAAAAUACACAGUGAAUUCAGAGGCAUCACAUACUUUUAUGAUAUAAGCAUAAAAACUGUUGAUUAUAUAAAUACAUGUAGCUUGAGAAGGAAGCAAUCCGCCUUAACUUAUUACAUAGAAAAUUGAAAAGAGAAAAUCCAAUUGAACAACACAACACACUGCAGAGAGAGAUAAGAAUGCAUAGGAAAAGCAAUAAUACAAUCCAAAUGAGCAACACAUCACACUUUCAAGAAGAAAGAGAACGCAGAAGAAGAAGCGAGGAUUCUGGUUUCUGACAGUGAGGAAUCCCAAUCCAGCUUAAGGGAUGGUUAGACAUACUGAAUCCGCUAAAGAAGAAAAAAAUAAACAAAAGUUAGUGAAUAUUCAUAAAAAAAAUACAUUUCACCUAAAACUGCUAGGAAUAUCCAGCAAAAUCUUAAGAAGCUGAACUAAUAUUAAUCAGUUUCUAUUAAAUAUUUUUAUAUAUUCUUUGCUUAACGAAUGUGAAAGGAAAAGAAGAAGAAGAAAAACACUGUUUGUAGAUAUAGUCAUUUGAACAGCUCAAUGCACAUAUGUAGAAAUUUUAAUGACCCCUCGUAUAUAUCCAUUAAACACAGGUCUGAUGAUUUUCCAGAUAAUUGUCUAAUUUUGUGCCUCAAUUUGUGUUUUGUUGGAUAUCAUGAUGCAAAUGGAUAAUAUCAGACCAAAGAAAAAACGAUCACACCUCAUUCUAACCUUGAGCAAACUUGAAAGAAACGCAGUAAGAUAAAAUAAUUUAUUCAAGCGGAAGAGAAUAAGAGAAAUGAUUACCGAAUGGAUUAAAGGCAAGAUACGUUUUUUGGUAUCUUCAUCCUCCCAUUCAAGCUCAGUUUUCUGUUCUUCAGGACGCAUAUAUAUUCCAAACCCGUCAAGUCGUGGGACACUUGUAGCAUCAAAGGGAAGCUUUCUCAGCUUUGGACAAUUUCCUACAUAUAUGUGCCGCAAUGAUGGAAAGGGGAGAGGACUCCAGUAGAUACUCUCCAGCUCAGGCAACUGUAACAGGGAUAACUUUUCUAGUUUCUGAAAUGGUGUAGUACCUGUAAGAUUGGUUGCUUUCUCUUUGUUUAUGAUUUCUUCUAGUUCUCCUAAAUGUGAAAUGUCUAGCCAAGUCAGAUUUGGAGCAAACAGUAGCCAAGUCAGAUCCUUAAUGCCAGGACAGCUAACCAUUGCCACGACGGAGAGGUUGGUAAAGCGUGGACUUGUCCGAUUGUGUAAAUGAGAUGAGUCGGUCUCGCUUUCUCUGCAUUUAGUAUAUGUAUUAAUCUCCGAGACAUGACUUUUUUUCACACAGUGCUCACGAAGAUUCUCCAUACUCACCAGCGAUGACAUAUUGAAUGGCUUUUCUUUAAAACCUUGAAUAACCAGAUGAAUGAUGCAGUUAGCCAACCUUUGAUCGCCUAAUAUAUGCUUCAAACCCAACUCGGUAGAGAUCGUUAUGUCUAGAACUUGUAGAUGCUACAAGAGCUGCAGCUCCUUCAACAAGCUAACAUCUUCAUGAACUUUAGAAUUUUCUAGUCUCAAAAUUCUUAAACUCGACAGCUUUGAUAUCCCACUGAUACUACAAAGACUCUCUGUACCAGUCAAAUCCAGAUGAAUUAGCUUUUUCAACUCUUGGAAACCAACUGGCAGUUGCUUUAUACUUGUGUACGACAAGUUAAGAUACUGCAAGGAGGCCAGCUUCGAUAUCUGCUCAGGAAGUUUUUGGAAAUCAUCAUUAUCUGAUAGAUCCAAAACAACUAGCUUUUGCAUAGAGCCGAUGAAUUCACCUGAGAGAUUCUUCAACUUAUUCUUCUGGAGGAGCAGAGUUGUAAGUUCAGAACACUUGGAACUGCAUUUUAUCUCUUUAACCUCAUUCCUCAUUAAAGACAUCCUUCUCACAGCUCUCCAAUUCUUGACUUUUGGCGUUUCGUGUAAUCCGACUCCUGCUUGAACAAAAAAAGACUCAGAUGCAAUCCAUAGAGCCAUUUCGCGAACCACGUCAUGCAUCACAACAAGACCUAUCCUAUCAGGCUGUUCUGUCAGUAAAUUUGAGCGGAUAAGGGUACCAAGUACCUCAUAACCCUUAUUCACUGCCCUUUUAUAAGAUUGGUGUUCCCCGAUGAAUCCCUCGCACAUCCAAUAUUUUAUCAAAUCUCCUUUAUCUAUCUCAUAAUCUUCCGGAAACAGAGCACAAUAGAGGAAACACGACUUGAUAUGUUCACCCGCCAAGCUAUCAUAGCUAUACUUCAGAAUCGGAAGAAUUUUGUUUUCCAUGUCAGAAAACUCUGCAGCUGAUCUGGACAAAACAUCGACUGCAAGCUCCCAUUCUUGUACCGUAGUUUGAGAUGACAUUGUCUCACCAAUGACAACAAGCGCUAGUGGCAGACCACAACAUUCUUUAGCGACCUUUUUGGCAAGCUCGACAAUGGCAGGAUCUCUACUUAAUGUAUUAUCUCCUACCUUGCUUUUGAACAAUUCCCAUGCUUCAGUCCAUUCCAAACAGUUGACUUUCAUCGGCUCAUGAUCUCCCAUCCGCCCACAUACUACCCGAGAACGAGUGCUGAAUGUUACUUUGCAUCCAUUUUCUCUGGUUGGAAACGGAACUCCAAUGACUUCUAAAUCAACUUUCUCCCAUAUAUCAUCUAACAUCAGGACAAAUCUCUUCCCUUUUAAAACUCUGUGUAUAUUGAUUGCCUUGUCACUUUCACUUUUGUUCUUCCACUCGCCGUCGCAAAGGUGUAGCUUUUGUGCAAUAUCAUCUUGAAGCUUUGAAGUAGUUGCACCUUGAGACACCACGACCCAGAUCACAACAUCAAAUCUACCAGCCACUUCAGUGAACUUAUUGUGGAUAUUCUUGAAAAGGGUAGUCUUGCCUACACCUCCCAUACCGUGCAAACCCAUGAUUCCAACUCCAUCUUCCAUAAGGCGCUUCCAUGCCUUUUCCAGCAUUGUUUCCUGACCGAUCGUAGGCCCACUAGGCCUCUCUUCUACUACAGAUCUCAAACCCGGCUCAGUAACCUCUUUAGAAUUACCCUCUGAUUUGAGAAUCUGGACCUCUUCCAGCAACAAGAAUACCUUUUUCCCAUAUUUGUAGCUCGAACAUACACUUUUUGAACAUAAACCACAGAGACACAACUUCUUAAGCUCAACAGGACUAGUACUAAGCAGAUCAUUGAACCGUGUAUCGAUGCUCUCGACACGUGUUAGCCAUACCUUGACAGCUUCAAGCCUUUGUUGAUGUUGUGCCUCCUCUCUCGCCACUUUGUUCUUCACCUCAGCUUCAAUUGCCUUGAGAUCAUCCAUUUCCCUCUUCAGAGCCCUGAGAUUCUCCUUGAGGUUUCGAAUAUAACCCUUACCACAUAAGCAUCUGACGAUAUGGUUCAACGUUUGAUCACAGGAAAGUUGGAAAGACACACAAUUCCCCAUGGUGAUAGAAAGAGAGAAAACUUUGAGUAAGCAACAAACGAAAGCUAAAGAUGAAGAAGUGUUUUAUGUGAAAAGCAUUUAACUAAUUCUGAAGAAGGAAGAGAGGAUUAGUUAGAUUUUAGUCUACUAUGCGUUUUAAUUUCCGCCAUUGUUUCGAAGGACGUUUAGUCGUUUACUUUAGAUGCAAUUAUGUUUGAAAAAUUCAAAGGUCAAUUACCAACUCUUAUCAUUAUUAAGAUGCAACUAUGUUUUAAAUUAUACAAAGGUCAAUGAUUUAAUCGCCCAGUUUGGAUUAUUAUGCAACUAUGUUUUAAAAAAACAAAGCUCAAUUAAUGUUUAAUCACUGGGUUUGGAUUAUUAUCAUCACUUGUUGUUAAUUAUUUAAAUCAUUCACUUUAAAAUAUUUGUGAAAAAUCAAUUACUUUAGAAUAUUUUCCAAAUGACAUGGGAACCAAUAACCAUGAUCAAAAACGGUGUGGUGCGAUCGCACGAAGCCAAAAACAACUUACAAGAAAUCUGGAACAGAGCAGACAAUGGAGAAGUCUAAGGAUCUCGUCAAGGCUGAGAACUCAGAAUGGCCUCCAAAUUUUAUCUGCACCUGAAUUCAGAAUGGCCUAACAAAAAGUGCAGAAUGGCUUAUAAAAACUGCCCAUACCAAGCAAAAAAAAAAAAAAAAAAAAAAACAAAAAACAAAGUCAGUCAAUAACAGAUAUCAGUCUCGAAGUUGCUUUUUUGUUUCACCAAAAAAAAGAAAAGAAGAAGUUGCUUCUUUUGUGGGAAAAGCAGAGGUCAUAUAAAGGCUCAUUGUUACAGGUUUCAGAGGAAAGUAAAUCAGUUUUAGAAUCAUCAAGACUAUAUGGAAAAACCAUUGAGAUUCACAGAAGCAAAGAAUUUUAUUUUGGACAUCGAGGAAUAAAAAUCUAAAAUCAAAAUCCAAAGGUACAUUGAAGGAUGUUUAGACCCAAAACGGCUACAAAAGAAAAGAAAGAAAAAAAAGUUAGUGACACUUGUGGAACGCAUUGAAAUUGAGAGGGACAACAUAUUCUGAAAAUAAAAUUCCAUUUUAACAUGUCUGCAGGGAUUAUCCAACUAAUUCUACCUCACCAUUGAUAUCUUAAGAAGCUGAACUAGGUUUAAACGGUUUUGUUGCGGAUAUCACCAAUAUCAAUUCGUUCAAAUUGAGUUUCCGAUCUGAAUCUUUAGAUGAAAUAGAAACGAGAAAUAAGCAAUAGAAACUACACACAAGAUUUAUCCAGUUUAGGGGCCAACCGCGACCCUACAUCUGGCAGAGACUUCCUCGGAAUUCACUAAGAGAAUGGUUUACAGAGUAGCCGUUACUCUCACUGGAAGAUACCCCGAGAAUCCCUUUCACUCACCGGAAAGAUCUCACAGUUUUCACUCACCAAUUACAAAAAAUGGUAUGUCGAAGAAGAUCUCUCUCUCUCUCUCUCUCUCUCUCUCUCUCUCUCUCUCUCUCUGUCUGCAACUAAUUAAUGACCGACCCGUAGUAACAAACCGAAACAACCCCUGCGCGUAAACACACGCUCUAACGGUCACUCUUCGAUAUCAGCUUCUAGAAGAAGCUCGUAACGAUGACGUCUUGGAGUCUUACCUUAUCCGGUUCACCUAAUCCUGAAAUCAAUAUCCUGACUUCAUAAACCGGAACCUGCUAAUUGAACUAGAUGGUUUAUCAACCAAACCCAUCGGACAGGUUUUUUAACUUUCUCUUUUAACAUUUUUCUCCUCCCAUAUAUUCUUUGCUGAACAAGAAACCCAAAUGCCAAAUGUGAAAGAAGAAGAAGAAGAAUUAUUUGUGAUUUGAUCAUUGAAGAAUUCAAUACACACAUGUUUUGUAAUUUUGGAAUUAAUGAUACCCCAUACAAAUCCACCAAACACAUGUUUUAUUUUCAACGUAAUUUUACAGUUUGUGAUCCAGAUUUGUUUGUUGAGUAUCAUGAUGUACAUAUGGAUCAUAUCAGUCUAAUAAAACGAUUCAGACCUCAUGCUAACCUUGAGUGAAAGAAACUUAGUAGUAAAAAUAAUUACCCAAACAGAAGAGUUUAAAGGCAUCUUCUAUAUAUAAUUCUAUAUUUUACUCUAUUUAGAUACUCCAUUUUUAGAGUAAUUCUAUUUUUAGAGUAAUUCCAUUUUUUAAUAGUAAUUCCAUUUUGGAGUGAAAUAUGAAAUAGGUUUAGAGAGAAUUUUCUUCGAACUCGAAAUUUGGAGUAGAGUCGGAGAUGAUCUAAGAGAACUGAUUACCCCAUCGAAUGAACGCAAGAAACGAUUCUUGGUAUCUUCGUCCUCCAUUCAAGCUCAGUUUUUUGUUCUUGAGGAAUCAAUCUUAUUACAAACUGGCCAACUCAUGAGAAACUUGUAGCAUUUAAGGGUAGCUUUCUCAGCUUUGGACAGAGAUCAGCUACUAUGUGCUUCAGAAAUGGAAAGGCAAGAGGACUCCCGUAGAUACUCUCCAGCUUAGGCAAAUUCCUAAAUGUUAUAAAUUUUAGUUUAUGAAAUGGUCUUAUACCUGUAAGAUUGUUACUUUUUUGUUUACAAUGUCUUCCAGUCUUCUUGAAUUUUCAAUCUGUAGGUAGACAAAAUAUAUUGACUAGAUUAUGUUGAAAAAUGUCAAUCUCUAAAACAUUGCUUCAGUUCGCCAACCUUCAAUCGCCCAAUAAUUGCUCCAAAUCCAACUCCGCAGAUAUGAUUAUGGUUAGAACUUGUGGAUUCUCCAAGAGCUGAAGCUCCUUCAAUAAGCUAGCAUCUCCAUGAAAAUUAGAAUAUUGGAAUUUCAAAAUUCUUUAACUUGAUACUUUUGAUAUCCCAUUGAUACUAGAAAGUCUCUAUGUAACAAUCAAAUUCAGCUGACUUCGCUUUUUAAAAUCUUGGUAGCCAACAUGGAGUUGCUCUAUACUGUAUACAACAAGUCAAGAUACUGCAAGGAUGCCAGCUCUGAUAGUUUUUUCAUAGAGCGGAUGAAUUUACCUGAGAGAUUUUUCAAAUUAUCACUCUGGAGGAACAGAGUUUUAUAAGUUCAGAGCACUUGGAAAUGCAAGUUAUCUCUUUAAUCGUAUUCUUCAUUAAAGACAUCCUUCUCACAGCUUUCCAAUGCUUGACUUUUGGUACAUAACCCUUAUUCUUCGCUCUUUUAAAAACUUGGCAUUCUCCAAUGAAUCCCUCGCAGAUCACGUACUCUAUCAAUUUUUCUUUAUCUAUUCGAACAUCUUCUGGAAACAGAGCACAAUAAAAGAAACAUGACUUGAUACGUUCAUCCACCAAGCAAUUGUAGCUGUACUGGACAUUUUGCUAAUGUUGAGCAAACAUGACUUUAUCUAUAGAGGAAACAUGACUUUAUCUAUAGUGUUUUUGGUCAAUAGGUGGAAUGCAUUUAGCUAAUGACGAUGAAAGAGAGAGAUUGUGUUAGAUUUCAUUCCUCUUUGCUUUGUAAUUUCUCCCAUAGUUUCAAAGUCGUCGACUUGAUGCAACCAUGUUUUUAUAAAGAUGAUUAAUCCCCAGUUUCGGAGUAUUUUAAUCACAUUAGAUGCCACUAUGUUUUAAAAGACAAAGCUCAAAUUCGUUGACUUGAGCUUUUCAAGAACGAUUUGAAACGUGUGGCUGAUGUUCCAGAAAGAAAUGCACCUGAUUUCAGAAUGGCCUCCAGAAACCUGCACCAUACCAAGUAAAAUCAAAACAAAUUAAAGUCAGAUAAUAAAAAAUUAAAAGAGGAAUGCUUCUGGGGGACAACUCCUAAGCAGCAUUGCUCUUGGAUUUGGAAAUCUAUUCUCUCUCUCUUAUGCCCCUUGCAAAGAAUCUGAUCGGAUGUGAUGUUAGGGAUGGCGUGUCAACAAGUUUCUGGUUUGACUCUUGGACCAAUUUAGGUCUGUUGAUUGACUUGACAGGUCUUGAUGACCCACAAAAAAUGGGAAUUCCUCUUUACUCUUCGGUUGCUGACUCUUGUUCUCCCAACGGGUGGAGACUUUCCUCAGCUAGGACCAGAGACUCAUCUCAUUUAGCUAUCCGCAACACCAUUACUGAGUUAUCCAUCCCGCACCAAGAUCAGGGUGGAGACGUGUUUCUUUGGGGUGUAGAAGGUUCAAGAAGAGAUUAUUUCUGUACCAGCAAAACUUGGCAUAUUCUGAGGCUUAAGGAGGAUAUAAAACGUUGGUUGAAAGCUGUGUGGUUCAAGAGAGCCACUCUGAAGCAUGCUUUCACCUUUUGGACGGCAAACUAAGACAGGUUACCACUGAAAACAAAGCUUGUGAGCUGGGGAAUUAAUAUCUCUCCAACAUGCUGCCUUUGUGACAUGGAGGAAGAGACUAGAGACCAUUUGUUUCUACACUGUCCAUUUUCUGAAGCAGUUUUGACCAUGGGGAUUCGGCGACUCGAAUUUUUUUGGAGUCUCAUUCUCUAAUUGGCAGUCCAUGAUCAACUGGAUGCUUCAACGAACACCAAGACUCUCCUCUACCCUGAAGAAGAUCCCAGGCGACAAUUUACUUGUUAUGGCGUGAACGAAACCAGAUAAUACAUGAUGGUCCUCUAUCUUCUGAAAACCAUCUCUUCGAUUAGUUGGAUAGACUGAUUAGAGACACAUUGUUGGCACACAAUCCCAGCGUAACUAUAGGGGUCUUCUAUCUCUUUGGUUUAAGAGCCACUAGUUCUUCAAGCUCGAUUGUAAUUCUACUAAAAUGAUCUGUUUCCAAGCCUUUUUCCUUUUUUUAGGCUUUUGAAACAGUGGCUGAGAGAUUUAUAGAAUAGCAGCGGAUUAAGCAAGAAUAUAGAGAGAUUUAGGUGAGAUUAAUGAAAAACUAAAGAAAAGAAGAGAGAAUCAAGAGAUUUAGAGAAAAAGAUAUGUAUUCUCAUUUUCUUAGAUCUAUAGAAAGCUGCUACAUGUGUUUAAGUAGGAAGACAAAGAAAACCCUAACACAUAUGGGCUUACUAAAUACCUUAUAAAGUUUUAUAAAGUUUAUAAAAUCUUAUAAAGUCUUAUAAAGUCUUUUAAAGUUUUCUAAUUGGAUUCCCACCAGAAAAGCUGAGAAUGAUCCAUCUUGUUUAACAGUGGCUAAUGUAAUAUACAAUAUAAUUCAAAUUUUAUUUUAAAAAAUAUAAGUUGCUUCUUUUGUGGGCAAAAAACAGGUCAUACAAAAGCUCGUCGUUAGUCUUUACAAGUUUCAGAGGACAGUAAUAUAUAAAAUCAUCAAAUUAUAUCGAAAACCCAUUGAGAUACACAAAAGCGUGUGUUCAAGAGGAAAGAAUUGUACAAGAAUAAUCUAUAACAUGUUGCAUCUAAUUGUGUCGAUGUUACAUGGGAUCUUCUUCGUCCAUCUACUAUAGUCAUAACAGGAUGUUAAAGCAAGACUUAAAGAUGAUGGAUCCGAGUCUGAAGUUACAGAAACGUGGAUUAAGCAAUAAAUUGGAGAUGAUGAAAAUAAGUUAUGCCCAAAGUAGCUUAUGAUGUGGAAGUGGGUUUUGUUUUUUUUUUGCGAAUCCUAAAAGAUUAUUGUGUUGUGCUGAUUCUACGUUAGUCUUAGAAGAAUGGAGUGUGUAAAAUAGAGAAAAUUUUAUAAAAGAAGUAACGUUCAUAUGUAGAAAAGCAUGCUUUUGAAUGAAUAAUGACUUGGUUUAUUUUUCUGUUGAAAGAAAAAAAAAUUAUUUAAUAUUUCAAAACGAGUGUAAAAGUGGAAUACUUUCUCGCGACAGAAAAAAUAUUCACUGCUGGUGAUCUAAAUGACGAUCCCAAAUAGACAAAUAAUAUUAGAAAUCUAUCUAUACACUAUUAUUUGCGAGGUUAAAAAUUUUAGGUGUCGUUCCCACAACAAUUGUUCUACAUGGCAUUAAUGAAAAAAUAUUAUUUAUCGUUUUAAUUUGUUUUGAUAAAUCGAUCAUUAAUCCUACGUGUAAAAACUUGUGACUUGGCUUUUUUCUUCGAUAAUGGGCUACAGAAUUUGUUCAUGGGCCAGCGAUUUUGUUUUCACUCAUAGCCACCGAUUCUGGUAAUAGGGCACCAACGUCGAAACCCUAAACUCUAAAGCAUAUAUCCUACUAUAUAUACAUGUAUUAUCUACAUAUAUUUUUACAUACAACAACCGUCUUCAAGGUCUAGCAAUUUUUACAAAACUCGUCCACCUCUAUUACACGAAUACAUCUUUUUUAUAUCCCAAUCUGGUUUAAAAUAUAUCGUUUGUUUAGUUGGUUGUUCUUCCAUGCUAACCUUUGAAUCGUUUUGUUCUGAUCGAGAUUCUUUUAUGCUAACCAGUCAAAUAUCUAUGUUUUUUCUCUAUCAUGUUCUAUAUUACUAUGCAUCACAACUAUCUUAUUUUUUAACCCCUGUUUUACUCUCUAUGCGAUUGGUCAUCGAGAUAUCAUAUUUGUGUUCUUUCUUUUGCUUUGUAAUUCUAUAUAUAAAAUUCGAUGCUUCAGUAUUAGAUAUUCAUGUUUCUCUUUAUUAAAUUUUUCUUAUGGUUAUAUUUGAUAUUAUUCGUAAAUCUAAAUUGACCUGAGCUUCUUUAUUGUUUUCCUUGAACCUAGAGUUCAUCGUGCAAACUAUAUGUGAUUGGUUCAAACUUUUGCAAUCAUAUCUUCAAAUGAAUCUAACAUGUAAUUGUAAAUAAAUCAUUAGUACUUUUUUUGUCAACAACUUAUUAGGACUUCUAAUUUUCUUAAUUGAUAUUCGUAAACUCUCUAAUUUAUUAUUUUGAUAUUCUUAGAAGGAUCAAAACCAUAGAAAUGAGUUUUUUUGUGUGUAUAAUUCAUGUUUUAGUUUAGGUUUGUAUUAAUUUUUCUGGUAACAUAUUGUGAAUGAAUGUUAUUUAUUGUUUGAUUGUUUGAUUGUUCUUUGUUUCUCCUUGGGUUCUACUUUACAUUUUCUUUAUAUUGUUGUUUAUGUUUAUUUUUAUUUCUAAAUAUAAUUUAUGGUUUUCGUGGUAGCUUUUGUGGACAAGUAAAAAAAAAAAAGAGUAACCAGUUCAGAUUAAUUUUGGUUUCAUAGUUUACUAAAGAUAUGUAACAUGAACAAAACGUCUAUUGUUUUAUAACAUUCCCAUUGUUUUCUACCCAAAGGCAAUUAUGUUGGUUCUGGAAAAAAUGUUUUAUAGUUUUGAUUUUUACCCAACACAUUCUUUUAUCAGAAAAACAUUAAAUUACUCUCAAGAUUAAACUUAUCAGGCAUUAAAGCAAUAUCUUUGUUGGUAAGUCGAUGAAUGAGAAUGUGAUGUCUCAUAACUUCAAAGAGCAAAGGAAAAAUAAGUGACAACGAGACUAGAUUCGGUGUGAGUAGAAUCUUUACGCAUGUUAAGUACUUGUUGAUAUACAACAAUCGUAUUGAGAACAGAGUGCAAACCAAUUGCAAAUUGCACCAUCCAAUUGGUGUUAAAUUAUAUUAUGGUUAAUCCCUGACCCAUUUCUUAGUUUCAUCAUUUGUUAAUGAAUCAUCAGUUUUUUUUAACCCCUGAUGAGAGAUAAAAUCAGCUGAAGGAAGGAGAGUCACCAAUACAGAGAAAGAAGAAUUUUUGCUAUAAAAUAUUCAGGUCUUAAUUUUCAUCAUCCUUGUAAUUUGUUUCAGCUUGCUAAAACUACUUUUUUAGUGUUGCAGACUUCAUCAGAAUACCUAAUAAAUUGAUGAUUCUCUGACACCAGAAUCUAAGAAAUAUACUCACACGUGAUAAACUGAAAUUUUUGUGAAUUGCAGAAUGAACAUACUCACACGUUGCAUUUCUCAUAUGUUUUGAUGUCUAACAAGUAAUUCUUGUGUCAUAUAGCUUUGUUGCUUUAAAAUUUUAGUUUUUGAAUUGAAUUUAUCUUAAAACAAUCCAUCCUUUGAUUGCUUCUCUAAAACCAAAAUCUUACAAGACAAAGCUUAUAUUGUAUCUUCGAAGAAGGUUGAAGAAUGAGAUGAAAUCUCGAGUAUGUUUCUAUGUUCAAAAAACUCAAAUCAGAUUGUUAUGUGUUUCUGAAGUUCACUGGUUUAGUACUUGAACACGAGCAAACAGAGAUUGAACACUCAUACAUUGAGUUGGACAAUACUAAAACGGGUCGGAAUCCCUUACUGAAAUGCGUGAGGAAAACACAGAAGCUAAAGAAAAUAAUGGAUGAAAUGAAAAAAGAUAGUUGGGUGGCAAAUAAAUGUGUGAUUGAUAUGAAAAAUUGGAAAAAAGAGAUGACGAAGACUUGAAGGUAAUGAAGAGAACAAAAUUGAGAAGGAGAAGUUGAGGAGAUAAGGCUAAAGCUAUAUUGUAGAAUUUAUCAUUAAUUUAAAGAGAAGAAGAAGACGAAAAAGAAGGGAAAACCUAAGGAGAUAUAAGUUAUGAAUAUAGAGAGGGAGGUAUGGAGAGAGAGAGAGAGAUGGAGAAAGAAGGAGAGAGAGGGAGAUACAGAGAGAGGGGGAGAUACAAAGAGAGGGGGAGAGACAGCGCGAUGGAGAGAGAGGGGGAGUGAGGAGAUACAAAAAGAGAGGGAGAAGGAAGGAGGGAGAUAGAGACAGACAGAGAGAGAGAUGAAAACAUUGUAUGUGCAAGUAAACAAAUCAGAAUAUGAAAACAAGAGAAAAUAUGAAUCAGAAUAAUAAUCAUUCUGAAAAUAUGAAUACAAUGAAGACUGAGAAGCAGUGAAAAGACAAAGAAAAUCAAAAUAAAAUGUCGGGAGACUAGAUGAUGAUGAAGAAAAGGAUGAGGGAUAGGAAGACUGAAAGAUAUGUAAGAGGAAGAAGAAGAAGAAGUAGAAGUAGAAGUCAAAGACGAUGAAGAAAAAGAAGGAAAAAACAAGGAAGAAAAAACUCCGAAAGAUGAAUAAGAGGAAGAAGAGAAAAAUGAAUUCAAUGGAAAGAAGAAGAAUAAAAAUUCGAAGAGAAAGAAGAAAAAUACAUUGAAAUGGGAUAAAAAAGAAGAAUACGAGUAAACCCGGAAAAAAAAUUUCAGGGGAAAGAAUUGAUCAAACACAUCAAAAAAGAGUAAGAAAAAUACGAAGAAGAAAAAAAUAAAAGAUAAGGAAUAUGAAGAAGAGUUGAACAAAGAAGGAGAAAACAAAGAAGAAGACAAAUAAGAAGAGAAAGAAGAAGUAGAAAUAAAAAGAUGAGGAAUAAGAAAAGCGAAAAAUAAAUAAGAAAAAGAAGAAGAAAAGGCAAAGGCGAUAAAAAAUAAUUUCAUUUUAUACAUGAUUCUUCUGAUUGUUUAUAUGUAUUGUAACUAUCUAAGCUUUUGGCUAUAACUGGUCAUUGGUUUUUGUUGUCUUACAGUGUAUAGGUACUUCCUCUCUUCCCUUGUAUAUUUGUACGUGAUUAUCGUGACAUUUCUACGUAGGUAUUAGAGUAUUGAUACUUACGAUCUAAUUACACAUAUAUUGGAUGGUUGGAAGACAAUGAAGAAAAAUAAUAAAAAAAAAGAUGAUAAAGAAGAACAACCAAAAGAUAAAGAAGAAGAAAAAGAAGAAAACGAAUAACCAUUAUGUGGAAAUGAAAAAUUCGUAUUUGUAUUAGUUUAGUUUGUUUGUAAGUUUUAUACAUUUAUUUAGUAUUGCAUUUUGGGUGUUUCAUUUUAUGGAUUUGUUUUAUUUUGGUCAUAUUAAGUCACAAUUGUUUUGAUUUUCUUGAUUCACAUAAUAUAAAGUUUUGUUUUACAAUUUUAAAUCUCUCAAAGGUCCGCGCAAGGAGCUGACAAGACACCUAGUUUUAAUUUAAAUAAAAACAGAUUUUAUUUGAAUUCAAAAUGAUUAUUGGUAAGCCGGUGAUCACUUUGUAUUUUAAAACUUAAAAUUUUUUUUUAAGUUAAUACUCUUCUUCCCUAAAUAUUAAAAAAAGAAUGGGCAUUAUGACAAUCUUACUUUGUCUUGUAAAGAAAAAACUUAUGUUUUUCCUAACUCGAACGUUACAUCAUUAAUCGAAAUUAAAAUGUUCGACCUGAUAAAGAUACAUUCCAAACACGAGAAGCAAACGUAGCUGCGUAUCUUCUAUCAUAGCUGUAUCAAGUAUUGAGUAUGGUAAUCGAUUUGUAUUAUUGAUGAAGUAUAGUCACAAUAUAUACAAGAGGAGAGGCCAAUAUACAACGGUAAUCUACAUUAACUAUAUGAGCGAUUAUAGGAGAUGAUUAUAGGAUAUGAUGAGAUAUGAGGAAUAUGUGUUUCCAUAUUCUAUCACACCCACUCAAGAUGGACGGCCUGGUGAGAGUCUGAUCUUGACAAAAAGAGUUUGUAAUCGAGCUCGGGAGAGUGGUGUCGUGAGAGCAUCAGCCAACUGAUCCGGAGAUGUGACAUGAGUAACUCGCAGCUGGCCAGGCUGAACAAACUGGCGUACGAAAUGGUAGUCUAAAGCGAUAUACUUCAUCCUAGAAUGAAAAACAGAGUCUAUUGCUGCCAAAUAUGUAGCUCCUAUGUUGUCAGAAUAAAUGACUGGAGUGGAGGUGACAUUGAGGCCCAAUUCUGAUAGGAGAGAUGAAAUCCAGCAAACUUCAGCAGUGCUAGACGCGACUGAGGUAUUCAGCUUCGGUAGAAGAGCGAGAGACCCCAGUUUGUUUCUUCGAGGACCGAGCAAUGGGAUGACUUCCGAAGUAGACAAUAUAAGCAUUUGUGGAUGUGUAGUCGUCUUUGUUACCCACUCAAUCAGCAUCGGUGAAGGCAUGCAGAUCUGGUUUGUUGUUCGCUCGUAGAUAGAUGCCGUGAGAUAUAGUACCAGAGAGGUAGCGCAGGAUUCUUUUUACGGCAGUCCAAUGUUCAGUGGUCGGACGAUGCAUGAACUGAGAUAGUUUGUUAACAGAGAACAAGAUAUCAGGCCUAGUAAGGGAGAGAUAUUGAAGACUCCCCACAAUAAUUUGGUAUUCUGUUGCAUCAUCUAAGGCAGUACCGGAGAGAAGAGUGAGCGAUGAGUUGGCUUCCAUUGGUGUUGAGACAUGUUUAGCAUUGGUCAUGUUGGCCUUGUGCAUUAAAUCUGCAAUAUAACGACGUUGUGUUAGGUGUAGUCCAUCUUUCGUACGAGUUACCUUAAUACCUAAAAAUAAGAUAAAUCACCUAAGUCUUUAAGGGAGAAACGUUGAGAAAGGGAAGCGAUAAACCGAGAAAUAUGAGAGGAACUGUUGCCAGUGAUUAUGAUUUCGUCGACAUAAACAAGCAUGUAGAGAAGAAUGUCGUUCUGCUUAUAUAUGAACAGAGAGGCAUCAGCGACAGAGUUUGUGAAGCUGGAUUGAGGGAGAAACGUGCACAGCUCAUUGUACCAAGCUCUUGGAGCUUGUUUAAGGCCGUAGAUGGCUUUAUGGAGUUUGCAUAUUGCUUGUGGAUUUUCUUUGUCUUGGAAACCAGGCGGUUGGAUCAUAUAAACUUCAUUUUGAAAAUGUCCUUGUAAGAAGGCAUUGUUGACGUCAAGUUAUCGCAUCGACCAAUUCCGUGAAAAAGCUGUUGCGUCUACCACUGCUGAAGUUUGCUGGAUUUCGUCUCUCCUAUCAGAAUUGGGCAUCGAUGUCACAUCCACUCUAGUCAUUUAUUGUAACAACAUAGGAGCUACAUAUUUGGCAGCAAACCCUAUUUUUCAUUCUAGGAUGAAGCAUAUCGCUUUAGACUACCAUCUCGCACGUCAGUUUGUUCAGUCUGGUCAGCUGUGGGUUACUCAUGUCACAUCUGCGGAUCAGUUGGCUGAUGCUCUCAUGAAACCACUCUCCCAAGCUCGAUUCCAUACUCUUUCUAUCAAGAUCGGACUCUCACCAGGCCAUCCAUCUUGAGGGAGUGUGAUAGAAUAUGAAAACACAUAUUCCUCAUAUCUCGUCAUAUCCUAUAAUCAUCUCCUAUAAUCGCUCAUAUAGUUAAUGUAGAUUAACGUUGUAUAUUGGCCUCUCCUCUUGUAUACAUUGUGACUAUACUUCAUCAAUAAUACAUAUCGAUUACCAUACUCAAUACUUGAUACAGCUAUGAUAGAAGAUCAGCAGUUACGUUUGCUUCUCGUGUUUGGAAUGUAAUCUUUAUCAGGUUGAACAUUUUAAUUUCGAUUAAUGAUGUAACGUUCGAGUUAGGAAAAACAUAAGUUUUUUCUUUACAAGACAAAUUAAGAUUGUCAUUAUGCCCGUUCUUCUUUAAAUAUUUAGGGAAGGAGAGUAUUAACUUACUCAAACUCGAAAGGAAAAGCAAUGGUGUAGUAUAGGAGUAUCCAUUAACGAUCUGUAACGAACAUUACUAAACGACUCAUGUUUCAAAUGAAGAAAAUUAUAAUUUACUAACAAUUAUUUUGGGUAUAUCUUACGGUCUUACAUGGUGUUUAAAACUCUCUUAUCCUAAGAUAUAACAACAAAAUACCAUAUUCGUAUUCAUUUAGUAUAAUCUUUUUUUUUUCCUUACUUUACCGUUACAUCAUUCAAGCAAACAACACCUUUUGAUCAACACAAUAAUAGAACACACAAAUGAAUUACAGAACGUGAGUAGUGUUAAAAAGAGAAAAUUUUACUUGACAACAAAUCAAAUGAGAAUUUUCACACAAAAACAAGAAAAAAAAAAGAGAGAAAACUUAUUACCCUGAAAUUGAAUAUUCUAUUUUCAGAGAAAUAUGAAACACUCUACGCAACAAGCGGGUUCUCUAACAAUUCCUCAGUGGUAUAACCGUAAUUCUGAUACUGUUGCUGAUCCGACCCGUUUUUGCUCGGAUCUAGCCUAACCCGAGCCGGAGGCUGAUUGUUUUUCAUAGUCCCUGCCCCACCCACCCGACUCUGAUUCGAAUCCAUCAUGGAUCUGUUCGUUGCCGGUGAUCUCGUCCUUCUUCCGGAUCUCUCACCAUUACACGUACCCGAACCGAAUCUCGCUCCAUUACACGUACCGGUGUUUCUCUUACGAGGAGAUUGAUCGGUUCUUCUUCGGGUCGGGUAAUUAUUCCCUGUGACCCGGGUCCAAGAUUUAGCCGGAGAUCUCUGAGACAUGACUAUAAACCACCUCGACCUCACGAAGAUUCGCCAUACUCACCAGCAAUGGCUUUUCUUCAAAACCGAGAAUACACAGAUAAUUGAUGCAGUUAGCCAACCUUGGAUCGCCUAUGUGGAGUAGUUGUCGUUUUGGUGUCUAAGUCGUUUCUUAAUGGGCUUGCGACAUCAGGUGGGCUUCUACGUUUUACAAGUCUCGACUAAAAACAAGAGCUGGGCCUUACGGGAAAAUUGGCCCGAGCUCAAGGUUGUUAAAAACAAUCAUCGUUGACCAAGUCUUCGUCUUCUACAAUUGGAAUAACAGAACAGAGAGAGAGCGAAUUCUACAGAGUUCUAGAGAGAGAAAGUUUUCUUCUCGGUGAUCGGAGUUACAGCGAUCGGGUUGGUCGAUCUCGGAGGUCUCUGCGUCGAUUCUUUUCCAAGAGUUUUCCCUGCAAAUAGCUGUAGAAAGAUUCAGCAAAAGGUUCACUUGUAUAUCUGUUCUAAACGUUGAUAUAGUGAACGCAUGGUAGUUUAGUUCUACCCCCAGACGUACCGCGAGGGAACUGGGUUAACAAGUUUGCCUGUGUCAUUAGUCUAGAUUCUUCCGCAAGAACACCUUAGUUGAAUCUAGCUCAAUCGAAUUGAUCAAGCUUUUGGGACUAAGAAAUUGAUUCUAGUGUUAGUCGGAUUUCUUAACAAAGUGGUAUCAGAGCAUAGGCUUAUAGAUCGCCGGAGGGAUUACGGUUAAGUGAUCAGGGGGCGAUCUUGGAUCUGAGUUCGAUUGGUUAUCUUUGAAAUUCCUGAAGUCAGUCGAGUUUCUUCUUGGACCAAGUUAUUACUGCAUUCUUUUGGUCUUGGCUCAAGAACAGGAAAGAUGGAAGCAGUUAAGAAGUUUGAGAUGGAGAAGUUUGAUGGCAAAGGUGAUUUCGGUAUGUGGAAGUUUCGCAUGUUGAUGCAACUUGAGUUGCAAGGUUUUGGGAAACAAGUAAAGGAAAUCACAGGAGAGGUUAAGGAUGACACAAAAGGCAAGGACUUAGAAGAAGUGGACUCUGAAACAGGUGUGGCGUUAACUCCGGACCAGAUCAUAGAAAGAGAUGUGAGAAUCCGGAAUCUCAUAUGCUCAAGCUUAACAUCAAUGGUCCUCAGAAAAGUCAUGAAGGAAACGACAGCAGCUGGUGUGUGGAAAGCCUUAGAGGCUGAUUAUCAGACGAAGACUCUACCUAACAGAAUCUAUCUCAAGCAACGGUUUGCAAGUUACAGGAUGGACAAGAAUAAAUCAAUAGAUGAAAACAUGGAUGGUUUCUUGAGACUGGUUGAUGAGUUGGAAAGUUUGAAUAUCCAGAUAAGCGAUGAAGAUUAAGCCAUUCAAGUGUUGUCCGGGUUGCCCGAACAGUAUGCUUCUUUGGUGCACACAUUGAAGUAUGGAAACAAAGGCAAGGAUACCCUGACACUAGCUGAAGUGGUGCAAUCAGCUCACGCAAAGGAGGUGGAGCUUCGUGAGUCUGGUCUCUUGAAUAAGUCAAACCACACAUCAGAAGGGUUAUACGCGGGUCAAGGAAAGUCUGUAAAGAAAAGCAAAGGAAAGUUUGCUGGGGGAAAACAGAAGUCUGGGAAAUCAAAGAAGGAUUCCCAGGGAGGACAAGUCAAAGCACGAGAGUGCUGGGUGUGUGGCAAGGAAGGUCAUUUUAAGAAAGACUGUCCACAAAAGAAAACUCAGGCAUCCUCAAGCUCAGCAAAUUUGGCUCAAGAAAGUGAGAAACCAAUGAUUCUCACGGCGAGCACAAAAUAUGCUAAAGACGAGUGGGUGCUGGAUUCAGGGUGUACGUUUCACAUCACACCAGAAAAGGAUCUACUAUUUGAUCUCACGGAAUUUAAUGGAGGAAAAGUGUUAAUGGGAAAUAACACAUUUAGUGAGAUCAAAGGUAUAGGAAAACUGAAGAUUGUUAAUCCAAGCAAUUCAACAGUUGUUCUAACUGAGGUAAGAUACAUGCCAUCAAUGGGCAGAAAUCUGAUUUCCUACGGACAGUUGGAAAAGGAAGGAUGUUCUUAUGAAGGGAAAGAUUUCACGGUCACAUUCAAAAAGGAUGGGAAGAAUGUUCUUACUGGAAAGUAUAAAGACGGGCUCUACUACUUACAAGGGUCAGUAGUUGAAGGAGAGGUGGAUACAGUUUCUAGAGCUGCGGUUAAUCUGACAAACAGGUGGCAUUCCAGGUUGGGGCACAUGAGCUUAAAGAAUAUGAAUCAGUUGGUUAAAGAUGGUUAUCUUAACAAAAAGGAAGUUCAUACUCUGGAUUUUUGUGAAGAAUGUGUUCUUGGGAAAGCACACAAGUUAAGUUUUCCAACAGGCAAGCAUACAUCAACCGUGAACUUAGAAUAUGUUCACAGUGAUCUUUGGGGAUCUGCAGCGAAUUCUGAGAGCUUAUCAGGCUGUAAAUAUUUCUUGACCAUCAUUGAUGACUAUUCCCGAAAGGUCUGGAUCAGAUUUCUAAGGAGUAAAGAUGAAGUGUUUGGAAAUUUUUCAGAAUGGAAGCUCUUGGUGGAAAAUCAGACGGGUAAAAAGAUCAAGUGUCUCAGGACGGAUAAUGGGUUGGAAUUUUUCAAUGUUCAAAUGGACAAGAUAUGCAAGGACUCAGGAAUAAAGAGGCAUAGGACCUGUACCUAUACUCCACAGCAAAAUGGGGUUUCAGAAAGGAUGAACAGGACCAUUGCUGAUAAGGUUAGGUGUAUGUUAGCGGAAUCUGGAUUGGAGAAAAAGUUUUGGGCAGAAGCAGCAUCUACAGCAGUAUAUCUCAUCAACAGGACACCUAAUGCAUCACUUAAGUUCAAGAUACCAGAAGAGUUGUGGUCAGGGACAAAAAUCGGAUAUGAUCAUCUCAGAAGGUUCGGGUGUAUAGCUUAUGUUCAUACUAUUCAAGACAAGAUCAGUCCUCGGGCUUUAAAAGGUAUUUUUAUGGGGUAUCCUCAUGGAACCAAGAGUUACAGGAUCUGGUUGUUAGAAGAACAAAAGACUACAAUCAGCCGAAAUGUUAUCUUUGAUGAAUCCAGGGUGUAUAAGGAUUUGGGGAAAAAUGAAGAAGAAAGCCUUGAACUUAGUGAAAAGGUUGUCAUUAACCCAAAGACUAAGAAGGUCCCAGGCUCAAGGGUCACAAGAGUAAACAGAGCAGGCUCAUCUGGAAGGAGACGAUCUACGGUUCAAGGUGGAGCUGUUUCAGUUGAGUCAGAAGAUUCAGAUACCGAAGAAAAUGGGUCUGAGGGUGAUCAAGAAGAUGGUUCUGAACAGGAAAAUGCAGGGGUGGAAGAAAAUCUAGAUAACUAUAUCUUAGCUAGGGACAGAGAAAGAAGAACGAUUCGUCCCCCAGCAAUGUUUGAAAGUGGGGACUAUGUUGCUUAUGCCCUAGCAAGUGCAGAAUUGAUUGAACCUCAAGAACCGAGAACUGUUUCAGAAGCGAGAAGAAGUAAAGAGUGGAAACAGUGGAAUGAGGCCAUGGUAGAGGAGAAGCAAUCUCUUGAUAAAAAUCACACAUGGGACAUUGUGGAUAGACCUCAGAAAAAGAAGAUCGUUGGUUCGAAAUGGAUUUUCAAAUUGAAAGAGGGAAUUCCAGGAGUUGAACCACCUAGAUACAAAGCAAGACUUGUAGCUAAGGGAUUCACUCAGGUGGAAGGAAUAGACUACAACGAGAUCUUCUCUCCAGUAGUGAAACAUGUCUCGAUAAGGAUAAUGCUAUCAGUGGUUGUGAAUUUCGAUAUGGAACUCGAGCAACUAGACGUGAAGACUGCAUUCCUUAAUGGUAAACUAGAUGAAACUAUUUACAUGGAACAACCAGAGGGUUUUAUCGAGAAAGGAAAUGAAGGAAAGGUAUGUCUGUUGAAGCGGUCUCUUUAUGGUUUAAAACAGUCGCCGAGACAGUGGAAUCACAGGUUCAAUGAGUUCAUUCAGUCACAAGGUUUUAAGAGAAGUGUGAAGGAUCCAUGCGUGUAUUACAAAGGUUCAGUUGUGGAGGAUAGUGUCUACUUGUUAUUAUAUGUUGAUGACAUGUUAAUAGCAGCUAGAGACAUGGUGAAGAUCAGGGCACUAAAGAAGAGUUUGAGUGCAGAAUUUGAAAUGAAGGAUCUUGGAGCAGCUAACAGAAUUUUGGGAAUGGAGAUCAUAAGAGACAGGAAAAAGGGAAUUCUGAAGCUUUCACAGGCAAGAUACAUAAGUCAAGUUUUAAGGACGUUUAACAUGAAAGAAAGUAAGCCUGUUGUCACGCCAAUAAACUCAUUGUUCAAACUUAGAAGUUUAUCAGAGGAGGAGUUAAGGGUUGAAGCUUCUCUAAUGGAAUCAGUUCCCUAUGCAAGUGCAGUGGGAAGUCUGAUGUAUGCCAUGAUUGGGUCAAGACCGGAUUUGGGUUAUGCAGUUUGUUUGGUGAGUCGGUUUAUGGCAAAGCCAGGAAGGAAUCAUUGGGCUGCUGUUAAAUGGGUUUUGAGGUAUCUUCGGGGAGCUACAGAUUUAAGUUUGACUUUCUCAAGGGCUGAUUCAAUGGAAAUUGAAGGUUUCAGUGAUUCAGAUUAUGCUACUGAUCUUGACAGAAGAAGAUCAGUAACAGGUUAUGUUUUUCAGGUUGGAGGAAAUACUGUUAGUUGGAGGUCCACAUUGCAGCAUGUAGUGGCUUUGUCCACCACAGAGGCUGAAUAUAUGGCCAUGUCAGAAGCAACUAAGGAAGGUUUAUGGUUAAGGGAAUUUUGCAACGAGUUGGGGUUUAAUUUUGAGUAUUUUAAGCUACAUAGCGACUCUCAGAGUGCUAUCAAUUUGGCUAAAAAUGCAGUUCAUCAUGACAGGACAAAGCACGUUGCUACCAAGAUUCAUUUUAUCCGAGACAUCCUAGAUGAAGGGCUAAUCCGCAUUGUUAAAGUUCACACUACUCUAAAUCCGGCAGAUAUGUUGACUAAGAGUUUACCUGGAAAUUCUUUCGAGAAGUGCCUCGUAACUCUCAAAGUCGUCGCCUGAUCGUCUACAGGCGUACUCGUUGAUGGCUCUGUUGGUUGGGCCAUCUCGCACGAGAAAUAAGGAGGAACAGGGUUAGUUUCUCGGUGGAAAAGAUUAAACCAACAAAGUUCAGAAGGUAAAUUCUGAGGUAUCUGGUAAAAGAUAAACAGGAGAAGAGUUUUGGUGUACAUGCAUGUGUUGAGGGGACUUACUUAGCACAAGGAGGAAGCGCAUCGUACUCUUGCAUCUCGGCCUGAGCUGUUUUUUCUCGGGAUAAGGAGAAGUCACGGCGAAGAAGAGAUAGAAGUUAGUAUAACUUCGUGUUUCUAAUUCUAAGAUCUGAAGAGAAGUUCAGAGGUCACUUACUUAGAGGAGAACUGAAGUCGAUUGGAGCUGGAGGCGGCGGUAAGGUCAGCGACGGUGAGGUCGGAGGAACCAAGGUCGUGAGCAGGAUCGAUUCAGGAGGUGUUUGCGGUGGAGUAGCUGGAGGAGUCAAAGGAGGUGACUCCAUAACCUAAGUCGCUGUUGAGUCGGCUAGGGUUGGUGAAGAGACAAGACAACGACAAAGGUGGAGAUUUGUGGAGUAGUUGUCGUUUUGGUGUCUAAGUCGUUUCUUAAUGGGCUUGCGACAUCAGGUGGGCUUCUACGUUUUACAAGUCUCGACUAAAAACAAGAGGAGCUGGGCCUUACGGGAAAAUUGGCCCGAGCUCAAGGUUGUUAAAAACAAUCAUCGUUGACCAAGUCUUCGUCUUCUACAAUUGGAAUAACAGAACAGAGAGAGAGCAAAUUCUACAGAGUUCUAGAGAGAGAAAGUUUUCUUCUCGGUGAUCGGAGUUACAGCGAUCGGGUUGGUCGAUCUCGGAGGUCUCUGCGUCGGUUCUUUUCCAAGAGUUUUCCCUGCAAAUAGCUGUAGAAAGAUUCAGCAAAAGGUUCACUUGUAUAUCUGUUCUAAACGUUGAUAUAGUGAACGCAUGGUAGUUUAGUUCUACCCCCAGACGUACCGCGAGGGAACUGGGUUAACAAGUUUGCCUGUGUCAUUAGUCUAGAUUCUUCUUUCCGCAAGAACACCUUAAUUGAAUCUAGCUCAAUCGAAUUGAUCAAGCUUUUGGGACUAAGAAAUUGAUUCUAGUGUUAGUCGGAUUUCUUAACAGCCUAAUAUAUGCUUCAAACCCAACUCGGUAGAGAUCGUUUUGUCUAGAACUUGUAGAUACUCCAAGGGCUGCAGCUCCGUCAACAAGCUAACAUCUCCAUGAACUUUAGAAUCUUCUAGUUUCAAAAUUCUUAAACUCGACAGCUUUGAUAUCCCACUGAUAAUAUGAUUUAACUUCAGAUAAAUUAGCUUUUUCAUAUCUUGGAAACCAAGUGCCAGUUGCUCUAUACUUGUGUUCCACAAGUUAAGAUACUGCAACGAAGCCAGCUUCGAUAUCUGCUCAGGAAAUUCUUUGAAAUCGAAAUUAUCUGAUAGAUCCAAAACAACUAGCUUUUGCAUAGAGCCGAUGAAUUCACCUAGAAAUUUCUUCAAACUAUUAUUCUGGAGGAGCAGAGUUGUAAAGUGUUCUGAAGAGUUGUAAGUUCAGAACACUUGGAACCGCAUGUUAUCUCUUCAAUAUUAUUUUUCAGAAAUCCUUCUCAUAUCUCCCCAAUCCUUAAAUUUUGGCAUUUCGCAUCAUCUGACUCCUGCUUGUAUUAAGAGAUAUUAGAAGAUAUUAGGCUUAUUGGACGUUGUAUAGAUAAUUAUUAGAAUUAUUAGAGUAAUUUGUUGAUCUCCAACAGGUUUUGACUCAAAAACGUUUUGACACAACUGACUCUUAAGAAAAACAAACACAAUGUCAGCAACUACCUCCCCCAGACUUGAAUAACACUGUCCCCAGUGUUAUCUAGUCCGAAGGUGGCGAAACAAAAUAAAAGAAACAGAGAAACGCAGGAAAAACAGAGAACUUACCUGGCUGCAAUGAUGGUGUCGCGCGACACUGAUGAUGGUGUCGUGCGACACUUGUUUUCCUCGUACCGAAUUGCAGCAGACCAAUCCGAAUUUCUGGUUUGACUCCGGUUGCCUGAUUUCCUAAAUUUCUUUUUUUUUUUUUAAAUAGAAGCAAGUGACAAGCGACACCGAAGGUGGUGUCGCUCGACACUAACAUCUGCUUCACCUGAGACACGAAAAGAAAAACGAAAAUCAACUGAAACAAAAAGACUUAUGCACAGACUCACCAGUGGAUUGCCUUCCACCAAGCGCUUGUUUAAAGUCAUUAGCUUGACUAUGGAUAGACUAUGCAUCUGGUGGAUCAGACAGUGGCAAAGAGUGCCUCUGUGAAAUUCGUCUCAUCCAUGGUGGUGUGUAAGCGUUGUGCGCAUGAGGUCGUCCAAGGAAUGCAGGAAUAGCACCAGGGUGAGAUCUGUGUUUGGGUGGCCUUGACCUAUUCCCUGCAAUAUCAUCAAACGAAAAACCAAGUGCUCUACGAUAAUCUCGUAGCUUGCGUUGUGAGACAGAGCCUGCAUCCUUUGAAUCAGUUCCAAUGAUAUCACGAGAAUUAGGCUUAGGCUCAAGAGGUGCGUAUCUUUGCUUUGGUGGAGAUGGAUGGAGUGCAAUGUUUGGAGCUUCCUGAUCAACAGCAGUCACUGGUUCUGUGGACGUUUUCGUCAACUCAGAUUGAUCUCUCACCAUCUCAGCAUCAAACACGUUCUGAUCUCCAACUAUCACCUCAGGUAUUGCAGUGACUUGGAAUGUCUGACCAUCUAUGGUGGGAUCCUUCAGAUCUUCCCAGGAUAAGAGGAUCUUUGGGUUCCUCUCCAUAUUGCAGAACCACGAAAUCUGUAGGAAUUAUGCAAUCACCAACUUUGAUUGGAACAUCUUCCAAGACACCUUUUGGGAUUCUUUUAGACCGAUCUGCUAGGAUCAAAGAGAUCUUAGUUGGCUUGAAGUCAGUCAUCCCAAGGCUAACAGCUACAGAGUGUGGCAUGAGGUUGACACUCGAACCAAGAUCACACAGCGAUCUCUUGAACCUCUCUGAGAAGAUAGAGCAGUCCAAAACAAAACUUCCUGGGUCCGAGAGCUUUUCUGGAAUCUUAUUAUGAAUCACAGAACUGACAUGUUUAGAGAUCAUCAUCGCUCCUUCCUCAUGACCCACAUUAUUAGUCACCAUCUUCUUCACAUAGUGUCUGAGAGUAGGAGCAAUCUUCACAGCAUCAACCAAAGGAAUCUCAAUCACAAGCUUCUCCAUCAAAAACUUGCAUCUGGCAUCAUCUAGCUCCUGCUUGGACUUCCUAGGACUCCUUGGGUAAGGAACCUUAGGUUUGUAAACCUUUUCCUCAGCAGAUUUCGGACUUUGAGCAAUAUUAGCUUUGCUCUGCAAUUGGUGACGCGCGACACUGGUUGUGGUGUCGCUCGACACUGGCUCUGCAGUUUCGAAAUUUUUUUCAGAUUCGUCAAACUCCACGAUUUCAUCCUCAAAAACACCCUUUUUCAGCACAGGAGUCAACUUUUUACCACUCCUUGACGAGAUGGCACUGCAGUAAUGCCUAGGAUUGGUAUCAGUCUUCCCAGGAAGGAAUCUUUCUUGCCUUUUUACAGACUCUGCAGUCUGAGCAACCUGAGUAUCAAGCUUCUUGACAUGAGUGUUCAGAACUUCAAUUUUUCCAUUCAGAUCCAGAUAUAGAGCAUCAAUCUUCCCAUUGAAAUCCACAGUCAUCUUCUGCUGACCUUCCAAAAUCUGUUCCAGCAUAGACUUCACCUCAUUAUCUGGAGUUUGAGUAGGAAGAGAACCAUAGUUCCUUGAAAACCUGUUGUUGGAGUAGGAUGUCUGGUACUGAGGUUUGGAGCUGUAACCAGAAGAGUUCUGAUUACCUGUGAAGGUACUCCUCUGAUUAUUUCCAUUGUAAUUCGUGUUCCCUUGCCCAGAACCAAAUCUCUGACCCUGAAAUCCAGCUCCAUUGAUGAAGUUAACAUCCUCUUCCUCAAAAGCUUCAUCUGGUCCGAAAUUCUGAACUCCUGCAGGGUAUCUGACAGAUUUCUUACCCACAAGAAGACUAUGCACAGAGUCAAGCUUAGCCUUCACCUCAGCAAUUUGCGAUCCAUCCAGGUUCCCAGCCUGCUUCCUUCGCCGAUAGUCUGCAUUCUUGGUACUAUUGCUAGAUGCCAAGUUUUCGAUGAGCUCAACAGCUUCGUCUGGGUAUCUGGUGUUGAAGUUUCCAUUGCUCGCUGCAUCAAGAGCCAUCUGAUACCUCCAGUCGAUACCUCUAAAGAAAAUACCCAGCAACUGCACAUCGCUGAAGCCAUGAUGGGGACAGUCUCGCUGGUACGAUUUGAAUCGCACCCAGGAAGCUUUGAACGCUUCAGUUGGUUCCUGAGAGAAUGUCGAAAUUUUCGUCCUCAACUCCUCAGACCUAGCAUCAUCGAAGAAGUUGUGCAGGAAAGCAUUCCUGGUCUCUUCCCAAGUAGUGAGUGAUCCUGGCUCCAACUGCUUCAACCAGUUAGCUGCCUCUCCAGCAAGAGAGUAAGGAAACAGCUUGCAGAGGAGGAAAUCAUUGGACACUCCAUUGUAUUUGAUGCUGGUGACCAAGUCCUCAAACCUCUCGAUGUGAUCCAUAGGGUGCUCAUGAGAAAGACCAUGGAAAGGAUGCUGACCCACGAGAGUGUAAUACACAGGCUUGAGCUCAAAAUCAUUCCUCUGAAACGCAGGAGCGCGAAUCGCAGACCGAUUUGCAUAGAAUUGCUCAGGCCUGUUGUAGUCACCCAGCGUCCUGAUGAUGUUACCCUGUCCAUCAAGUCGCUGGCCUCUCUCAUUGCACACAUGACCCUCUCGGUCUCUCCAGAUUCUAUCAUCAUCACGAACAAGUCCAAUGGCGUUUUCCAUCAUUGCCGGAUCUCUUGCUUUCCUGUUCGUUCGCUCUAACUCAGCUAGCUCCUCGUUGCUCAAAUUAACUAGCGGGAUGUCCUUGUUGCUCCUGGUUCCACGAGUAUGCAUAAACCUGAAACACCAAAAACAAAGAGAGAAAACGAGAUAAGUAAACUAGGUUAUAAAAAGAAGGGUGUCGCGCGACACUAGGUCGAAAAACUUAGUCGAAACUCAAAAACUAGGUUCAAUGGCGAAAUCAAGUCCCCGGCAACGGCGCCAAAACUUGAUCUGCUCAAAGUUUAAUCCCUAGAGCUACUCUGCAAGAGCACAGAUGUGCAAUUGUAGUAUAAUAGGGGUCGAACCACAGAGACGAGAGAUCACUCAAUAAACCUUAUAGAGAUUGAAUUACGCUAAGCAGAAAUAUUGUAAAUAAAUAGCAAUGCAACAGAAUUAGACUAAGCAGCAAUAAAAACGGUUUGUAAGAUUCAGAUGGAUGGAGAUUAGGCUUAGGGCGUUUCUCAGGAAAUCAAUGCAUGCAGAACAAUCGAUAAAUUAGGGUUCAGGUUUAAGCACGGUUCUUGAACUCGAAUCACAGAAUUAUAAUUAACCAACUUCCGUUGUGAGAAUUAUCUAAGUUAAAAUCCUAGAAUUCCAAAUUCCUUUGCAAACCCUAAAGAUUUAAACCAGCUUUAAUGCUCAAGUUCGAUAUGUUCACAAAGUAUCUAAACCAAAUUCCUUUGCGAAUAGCUACUUUGCUCACCCUAGGUUCUUUCCAGUUAUUCAAUUACACUUCCGUGUCAAUUAAGCAACCUAAGAUCUAAGUGCUAGGUGGCCAAUCCAGAAUUAGCUUUAAGAACAACCUAUGGUGAAGAACUAAAUAGAUUAUGAACCCUAACUAACCAAUCAAUCUAACAUCCAAUGAAAUCCUUUAUGAGAACCCUAAACCUAACAAGCAAACUACUCAGACAUGGAGAUUGAAGCAAUAAGCAUCAAUGAAUAGAUUGCAGAAAACAGUAAAUAGAUUAAUAAACAGGGGUUCGAAAUCUUCUCUCUCCGGAACAGAGUUUCAGACUUGUCUCCCCAAAAACUCUCAAAAACAAAAACUCUCUCUAAGAAAAUCUAAGGUAAUCGUAAAAAGGGAAUAAAAGCCCUAUAUAUAUCUCUAAGACACGUUUUGGGCUUCCUUGAAAACGUUUGGGCCCAACUCCUUCUUCAAAUAGGAAACAAAAUCACGUUUUCCUUAUUUCUGCAACAAGUGUCGCGCGUCACUCUCCAUGGUGUCGAGCGUCACUAAAGCACAAAAUCCAUACUUGACGAAUUUGAUCCUGAUUAAGCUCCAAAGUGCUCCAAAGUCUCCAGUUAAGCUCCAAACGUACCUAUGACCUGAAAAGACUCCAAAAGACUCGAAAGACACUAAAAAGACUCUAUAAAUAAGACUUAUACCAUGGUUAAAAACCAUAAAAACCAUGAUAUAUCAUUUGUCUCACAUUGCUAGUUUUUAACUCAAGGUUGACUAAUGUACGUAUUUUUAGGCAGAUGAAUAAAUCACUUCCGCAAAUUACUUUGACAUGGUAUCAGAGCCUAAGACUACAUAAAAUUUUGGUCUAGCUCUUGAAUCAGAGCCUAAGGCUACAUAAAGUUUUGGUCUAGCUCUUGAUUCAAAUUCUUGUUUAUAAGUUGUGGUUUAUUGGAAAAGCAAACCGACGAGGUCUUGCUCUUUUAUUUUUGGUGAACUCGGACCAACGAGGUUCGGGAUUUCUGUAAAGCCAUAAGGGCUUGGAAUUUUUUUAUUCGGUGGAGAAACCUUGGGAAUUUCUCUGUUUUUUAGAAAAUAUGAGAUUUCAGAGUUGAGGAAUUAAGUGUUCUUAUUGUUCGAAGUAUGGUCAUGAUAUGAGAUCAUGUUAUCAGGUAUAUGGAUAUCCAGAUUGGUAGCUGGAGAAGUAUGAAAAACCUACGAAACAUGUGUCACACUCUGAAAAACGUGUGUCACACACGGAGGCGUUACAGGUUGAUCCACAAGCUAUGACAGGGCUCAAGAAAGAUCAAUGGCAUAAGCUUGUUCGAUUCGAGAUUAGAGAUAGCAAAUUGUGUGAGUGAUAACACCUAUACAGAUAAGUGGAUUAUUGAUAGUGGUGCGUCGCACCAUAUGAUGGGUACGUUAAUUGGUAUGUUUGAUGUGCAUAAAGUCUCACCAUGUUUAGUGGGUCUGCCUAAUGGAAAUGUUAUGGUUGCUGUUAGAAAAGGAAGUGUGGCAUUGACGGAGAACUUAACUUUGACACAUGUGCUUUUUGUCAAGUAACUCAAGUACAAUCUCAUCUCUGUGUCACAGAUUAUUGAUCCAAUGAAUUGCAUUGUGUUGUUCUCCAAGCAAAUGUUUCGGAUACAGGAUCUUGCUUUGCAAAUUCUGAUUGCAGUGGGUGAAAGAAAAGAUGGAUUGUAUUUUCUUCAAGGUAUUCAGAAGACCGUGAAUGUGGCGAAGGUCAGUAAGUUGGGAUCUUUGGAACUUUGGCAUAAAAAGAUGGAACAUGCUUCUGAAAAGGUUAUUAGGAGAUUGCCAGAAGUGGAUCAAAAGAGUGUUAGUGUUUCCGAUUGCGAUGUCUGUUUCCGAGCAAAGCAGUGUCAGGAUGUAUUUCCUGUGAGUACAGAGAAAAGCAAAGAAUGCCUUGAGAUGAUUCAUUGUGAUUUGUGGGGGCCAUAUCGAACACAGAGCGUGUGUGGAUCCUUAUAUUUUUUAACUAUCGUGGAUGAUUAUUCUAGAACUGUGUGUGUUUUUCUUCUUGCUGAUAAAACACAAGUUCAUAAAACAAUGGUAAAUUUCUUUGCUCUCAUUCAGCGUCAGUUUGAGAAACAUGUGAAAAUCGUGCGAAGUGAUAAUGGUAGUGAAUUCAUGGGUAUGAAGGAGUAUUUUUGUACAUCAGGGAUAAUUCAUCAAACUUCGUGUGUAGGAACUCCUCAACAAAAUAGUAGAGUGAAGCGAAAACAUCAACAUAUACUGAAUGACGCACGAACGUUGAGGUUUUAGGCAAAUUUACCAAUAGAACUUUGGAGUUAUUGUGCUUUGAGUGCUGCGUAUCUAAUUAAUCAUACGCCUUCUAUGUUACACAAUGGUAAGAGUCCUUAUGAAAUCAUCUUUGGAAAAGCUCCUGCUUAUAGUGAGAUACGAGUUUUUGGAUGUUUAGCGUAUGCUCAUAAUCAGAAACGUCAUGGAGAUAAAAUUGCGAGUAGAAGCAUAAAAUGUGUAUUUUUGGGAUACCCUUAUGCAAAGAAGGGAUGGAACUUAUUUGACUUGGAGACACGUGAGAUCUUUGUUUCUCGGGAUGUCACUUUUAUUAAGGAACGAUUCCCAUAUUUGGAGCUAACAAAUGCACAGCUGGAUGUGCCUUCUAAUUCUAAUCAAAUGAGGUUAUAUGUGGAUGAUAAUGCUGGAUUUGACGAUAUAGAACCUGCCUUGACAAGGGAAAUUAUAUAACCUCUCACAAGAGAUACAAUGACACAGACUCAGGUUGUGUCAGACAAGGUUGCAGAAGAAAAAAAAUAGACUAUAGGAAACGAAAUACGUGAUAUCUUAGGAAUUACAGCGCCAAAAAUUGAACCUGCAUCGGUUACACAGUCUGAGAUUGUGCAGCCUGCUUUAGUGACAGAACCUGCAUUGGUUACACAGUUUGAGAAUGUGCAGUCUGCUUUAGUAACAGAACCUGCAUCGGUGACACAGGCUGAAACUAUGCAACAGCCUGCAUCAACAGAAACUUUGGGGCGAGGAAUGAGAAAGAAAGAAUCUUCUGUCAAGUUACGCGACUAUGUGUGCAAUACGACAUUUACAAUGAAUAUUUCCACUGUGAGUCAGGAGUUGAGUAAUGAUUAUGGUAUUGAGAAUUAUGUAAAUUGUGAAAGGUUCUCUGUGUCACACAAGGCAUUUCUGUGUAGUAUAACUGAAGGAGUUGUGCCGAAAAGUUUUGCUGAGGCCAUGAAGGAUCUGCGAGAUCUGCGAUGGAGAGAAGCUAUGAGACUCGAAAUUGAGGCCCAAGAACGAAAUCAAACAUGGUUGAUUGAACAAGUACCACCAGGUAAGCAUGUGAUUGAGUGUAAAUGGGUUUAUACAAUUAAGUAUAAUGCGGAUGGCUUGAUUGAAAGGUAUAAGGCGAGACUCGUGGCAUGUGGCAAUCGUUAAAAAGAAGGGAUUGAUUAUUCUGAUACAUUUGCUCCUGUAGCAAAGAUGAGCACAGUUCGAUUGGUUCUUCAAGUUGCCGCUGGGAAAAGUUGGGAGCUACAUCAGAUGGAUGUGUAAAAUGCGUUUCUUCAUGGAGAUUUGGAUGAAGAGGUUUUUAUGAGGGUACCUCAGAGUUUUGGUGCUUCUAAGAAGGGUAUGGUAUGUCGUUUGCGCAAGUCGUUGUAUGGUUUGAAACAAGCUCCGCGAUGUUGGUUCGUGAAACUUUCGAAGACAGUUUUAGGGUACGGUUUUACACAGAGUAAGGCUGAUUACUCUCUUUUCUCAUUAGUUUGUGAUAAAGUUCACUUGCACGUUCUAGUGUAUGUGGAUGAUCUUGUGGUGACAGGAAACUCUCUUGAGGUGAUACAAAAGUUUAAAACGUAUUUAAGCAAUUGCUUUCAUAUGAAGGAUUUGGGAAAAUUGAAAUAUUUUCUUGGAUUGGAAGUUGCAAGAAAUGCAGAGGGUAUAUACUUAUCACAGAGAAAGUAUGCUCUGGAUAUUAUUGCUGAUGUCGGUUUGCUUGGUGGUAGGCCUGUAGAGUUUCCGAUGGAGCAAAAUCAUCAGUUGGGAAGGUCGACGACAAAUAUUUUGAUUGAUCCAAAGAAAUAUUGGAUACUGGUUGGAAGGUUGAUUUACUUGGCUGCGACUAGACCAGAUCUUGCCUAUUCAGUUCACAUUUUAUCUCAAUUUAUGAAUGAGCCAAGAGAAGAUCAUUGGAUGGCUGCAUUGAGAGUUGUUUGUUACUUGAAAGGGUGCCCGGGAAUGGGGAUUUUGUUGAAAUCUGAUUGUAAUUUUCAUCUUACAGCUUGGUGUGAUUCAGAUUGGGCUGGAUGUCCAAUCACGAGGAGAUCUUUGAGUGGAUAGUUGAUAAAAUUGGGAAAUUCUCCUGUGUCAUAGAAGUCAAAAAAGCAAGAUGUUGUAUCAUGCUCUUCAACUGAAGCAGAGUAUCGAGCUAUGGUUUUGGCAUUGAAGGAGUUGAAGUGGUUAAAGAGUGUGUUGUUAACGAUGGGUAUUGCACAUUCUGGUCCAAUGGAUUUAUAUUAUGACAGUCAGUCUGCGCUUCAUAUUGCAGCUAAUCCUGUGUUUCAUGAGAGAACAAAACAUGUGGAGAUUGAUUGUCAUUUCAUUCGAGACGAUAUACAAGCUGGAAUUGUUCAGACCCAACAUGUUUCUACUACUCAACAGCUGGCGGAUAUCUUCACUAAAGCACUUGGAGGACGUCCGUUCAAAGGAAUUUUGUGCAAGUUAGACAUUCGAGAUCUUCAUGCUCCAACUUGAGGGAGGGUAUUAAGAGAUAUUAGGAGCUAUUAGGCUUAUUGCGCCUUUAUUUAUUAGAAUUAUUAGAGUAAUUUGUCUUACAUUGCUAGUUUCUAAGUCAAGAUUGACUAAUGUACUUGUAUAUAUAUGUGCAUUUAGGCUGAUGAAUAAAUCACUUCGGAAAAUUACUUUGACAUCUUGAACCAAAAAAAGUCUUGGAUGCAGUCCAUAGAGCCAUUUCGCGAACCACGUCAUGCAUCACAACACCUCUUCUACUAUUAGACUCUGUCAGUAAAUUUGAGUGGAUAAGGGUAUCAAGUACCACAUAACCCUUAUUCAUUGCCCUUUUAUAAGAUUUGUGUUCCCCCGAUGAAUCCCUCGCACAUCCAGUACUCUAUCAAUUCUUCUUUACUUAUUUGAAAAUCUUUUGACAAAGCACAAUAGAGGAAAUACGACUUGAUGUUGUUGAAACGUAAUCGUACUGAUUGAGCUCAAGCAACGACAAACUCUCACUCUAUUGAACUCUCUCUCUCUCUCUCUCUGAAGAUUCGCAUGAGUAUAAACGAGAGAAAGACGAAGAACACAGAGCACACGAUUUGAUUACCCAAAGUUCACCUCCUAGAUGAAGGCUACGUCUCUGGGGCCAGAUCUCGAGACGGCAAUUCCACUAACACGAAAAAAUCACAAGUCUCCAAGAACCGAGAGCUCGCGAGAAAGAAGACGAUAAGGUUUGUUACAACUGUGCUAACGGCUAGAUCCUAAUCCUUUUUAUAUACAAGAGGCUUACAACAAAACCGGAUAUUAACCAGAACCAAAUUAUAUCCUCUUAAUUGGACCAAUACUUGAUAACCAACUAAGAUGACUAACCAGUCUAAACCCAAACAUUAAUCUAGCCGUUAUACCAGAAUUGAAACUUAGACCAUAAUUCAACAGAUGUGUUCACCCACCAAGCUAUCAUAGCUGUACUUCAGAAUUAGAAGAAUUUUGUUUUCCAUGUCGGAAAACUCUGCAGCGGAUCUGGUCAAGACAUCGACUGCAAGCUCCCAUUCUUGUACCGUAGUUUGAUAUGACAUUGUCUCACCGAUGGCAAUUAGCGCUAGUGGCAGACCACAACAACUUUCAGCAACCUUUCUUGCGAGCUCGACAAUUUCAGGAUCACUUUUCAAAGUAUUGCCACCGACCAUUUUUUCAAACAAUUCCCAUGCUAUAUGUUUUUCCAGACAGUUGACUUGCAUUGGUUCAUGAUCCCCCAUCCGCUUACACACUUCGAGAGAACGAGUGGUGAAAGCUACUGUGCAUCCAUUGUGGGAAACGGAACACCAAUAGCUUCUAAAUCAACUUUCUCCCAUAUAUGAUCUAGCAUCAGAACAAAUCGCUUCCCUUUUAAAACUCUAGUUAUAUCAGCGGCCUUGUCACCUUCGUUUUUGUUCGUACACUCGCCGUCGCAAAGGUGUAGCUUUUGUGCAAUAUCUUCUUGAAGCUUUGAAAUAUUUGUGCCUUGAGAUACCACGACCCAGAUGAUAACUUGACACCCACCAGCCAUUUCACCGAACUUAUUGUGAAUUUUUUUUGAAAAGUGUAGUUUUUUCAACACCACCCAUACUGUGCAGGCCCAUGAUUCCGACUCCAUCUUUCAUAAGACGAUUCCAUGCCACUUCAAGCAUUAUUUCUAGGCCAAUCGUAGGCCCUGAAGGCCUGACUUCCACUACAGAUCUUGUAAGCGGCUCAGAUACCUCUUUAAAAUCACCUUCCAAUUUGAGAAUCUUAACUUCAUCCAACAACAAGAAUACAUUUUUCCCAAAUAGCUUGAGAAUACACUUUUUGAGCAUAAACCGCAGAGACACAACUUUGGAAGCUGAAUAGUACUAGUACUGAGCAGUUCAGUUACUCGUGUAUGGAUGCUCUCGACACAGUUACAAUAUAGAAGAAUCUAGAAGAUUCUAGAUAUUAUUGUUAAUAUUGUGUAUAUUAUUAUUUAGAUAUUAUAGAGAUUUGUAUCUAUCUUCUUUAGAAAAGAUCUAUGGUAUAAAUAUGUAUCUACUCUAUUCAUUAUAAUUAUGAGAGUCAAUAUACAUUACAAUUCUUCCAAUUCUAAACUCUCAUCACUCUAGUAGGUCAAGCCUUUUUCGAUGUUGUGUCUCCUCUAAUGCAACUCUGUUUUUCACCUGUUGUUGAAAUGCUUUGAGAUCUUCCAUUUCCCUCUGAAAAGUUCUUCUUGAGGUUUAGGAUAUAACCUUUACCAAGUAAGCAUCUAAAGAUACCAUUUACUGCUCCAUCACAAGAAAAAUUUGACACCCAAUUCUUAAUAGAUUAUAUGGUUACUGGUUUGUAGAUUUGUACAUUCUUAAUCGAUUCCACUAUUAUUCGUAAAUAGAUUAUAACAUUCUUUAAAAAUCCAUUGUUAUUGGUUUGAUGAUUUUUAUAAUCUAAUCAAAAUUCAUUGUUCUUCAAAAAGUUUAUAUUUUAAUGAUUUUAUAAUUAUAUUAAAAGCUAGUGUUAUUGGGAUAAAAAUUCUUUACAAUUCAACUCAUAAAUCAAGAUUUUUAAAAUACUAUCUAUAUCUAUUGAAUUCUUAAAAUCUGUCAUAGUAAAAUUAUUUUGUAAAUUGUUUUAAAUCCACAACACUCUCUUCAAAUUUUACAAAUCUAACAAAACUCUUGAAGAUUUGACUAAUCUUAUUACUUUUUAAAUCAACCAAAAUCUGUCAUAUGAUUUAAGGUGAUCCAGCUCUAUCUAUGCGCCACGUCAGCCUUUGUAAGGAGGACACAUCUCCCAUCUUUUAAUGCUUUUAUUUCAUCUUCUUCCCCCUCUAUUUUAUCUCAUAUUCCUUGUCUCACAGUGGCUCAAUCUCUCUUUUAUUUGUUUGCCAAUUUUGGGGAUUUGAAGACGGAAUAAAGAUUAAACUUUUUCUCAUAUUGUGUUCUAUGCAAUAUUCAAAUUAAGAUGAGAUGUGGAAAAAUCGUUAUAAAGAGGUUCUAGAAUGUGAAUAGCAGGCAAGUUACCUUCUCUAAGAGGCAUGAUGGGUUGUUUAAGAAGGCUCAUGAGUUAUUUGUUCUUCGCGACACUUUUAUCUCCGUCUUUUUACUCAUAUUAUGUUUAUGAUUUCUAGAAUAGUAGAAUAAUUUUCUUACUUACCCUACUUUCAAUCCUUAAAAAAAGUUAUUUGUUUGAUAAAGAUUUUAAUAAAAAAAAAACAAAUACCAAACAAUCAAGCAAAUUACCAUAUUUUUAUAAUUAACUACAUAUAUAUAUAUAUAUAUAUAUAUAUCAACACAAAUUAUUUUUAAAAAUAUUAUGUAAAACAAAACUCGCGCGUAUGCGCAGGUACAAGCCUAGCCUUUAUAAAUCCAAAUUCCAAUAACCUCUCUUAGCAUAAAUAAUAGAAAUGAUAAAACUAAAUAAAAUAAAUAAUUAACUUUAGAGUCGAUUACAACAUUCUCGAUUGUUAGACCAACAACAACUUCAUUUUGUUUUUUUUUUUGCAAAGUCUUAUAAUAUUCACCUUUUUUUUUAAAUAUUCUCCAAAAAAAUUUUAAUCAGAGAUUGAGUUGGAAAAAAAUAAAUUUUGGAAACAAAGAUUAUAAUUAGUUCAAAAAUGCUACCUUUUAAAAAAUGAUGAGUAAAAUAGAAGACAUUUCUUCUUAUAUAGAGGCUAAUCGUAGGGAUUCCAAUUAUGUUAUAUAGAUUUUCAAAAAUUUUGAUUUUUUAAAAAAUAAUCAGUAAUAAACAGAAAAAAUAUAAAAUAUGUUUGAUAACUAUAUUAGGUAACAACCAAAUUUCAUCUGCAUUAUAUUUGAAAAACUUAUAACUGAUAUUUUUGCAAGAUAGAUUUUUGUUUUUGUCUUGAAUAUUUUUUUUUAAAUGGUUAAACUACAAUGAUUUUUCCAAAAGUAUAAAAAAUCAGAAAAUAAUCGAUAAAAAUAUUGAAUGCAUAGUUUUAGUUAAAUAUUUUUCAAUUAUAAGCAAAUAGUUUUCGUCUCAUGCGCCGCGUGAACCGUGAAGUAUCUAUAAAAUAUUACUAAACAUGAUUUAAUUGAUUUAAAAUAUAAAUAAUUUAAUUGAUUUUAUAUGUAUGUUAAUAAUAUUAUGAUGAGUAAUGAUAUGAUUUUGUAUUAGUAUUACAAUUACAAAUAUAUAAUAGAACUAUAAGAUUUUAUUAUUGAUUUUCAUAUUGCUUUUGUUUUUCUUUUUUUUGUCGACUGCUUUUGUUUUAAAUAUGAAUGUAAUUAUAUAGUUAAUAGUUUAACUGAAAAAUCGAUAUAUUUUAUUGAAUAAAAAUUUUAGUAAUUUAUUUUGUUUUGUUUUUUCAAAUUCAAAUUAUCGCAUAUGCAUAAAAAUAUUAAAUUUUUAUAUGUUUGAUGUGAUAAUUAAUUCAGAAAAAAGUAAACAAAGAAAUAAAAAAAUAUAUAAUGAUUUAAAAAUAAUUCUUAUUAUAUAAUUGAAUAAGGAUUGAAUAUAAGAAAAUAAUUAAUAUGAUAUAAUUAAAUUUCAGAUAUUUUUGAUUCUAUUUGAUUGGCUAAUACAUAUGCUUUGAAAUUAUUUACUAGUUUUUGUGUGUCUAAUCAAAGAAAGAAAGAUUUUUUAAAAAAUUACUUUUAAUGAUUAGUUUAAUAAGAUAUAUUUGAUUUUUUAAUCAAAUUAAUAUGAAUGGAAUUAAUUAUAAUUAUUCUAGUAAUAUAAGUCUUUUUUUUCCAAAAAAAAUUGAGAGCAUAGCAAAAUUGUUAAUAUUACAUAUGACAAAUGUUAUUUUUAAAGUGUUUUUCUCAAAUAAUAAUAUAAAAGAUUUCAAAUUUCCACCGACAAUCAUUGACUUUGGAUUAUGAAAAUUUGUGAAAAACAAAUUACAACUCUUCAUUAACUUUACAUGUAUCCCAUUAAUUUAAACUGGUUAUACAAAUACUGUUGGCAUUCAAAUCCCUGCUCAAUGAAAAUAAACCCGUUGAUCAAAGAGUUAAAAAACAAAACAAAAAAGUGAAAAGCGAAGGAAAAGCUAGAUAACGAGCUAAAACAAGGGAACAAGACGUCAAGACCCCUACAUAUACAAAAGCAAACCCCUACGAGAACAACAAAACAAAACAGUACACUUGCAGAGAGAUAAGAAUGCAAAGGAUACAAAAGCAUAAAACAAUUUGAAUUGGUUUUAGUUUGACAAGGAAGCAACCCGUCUUAAGUUAUACAAUAGGAGAAUGAAAUACCUAAUCCAAGUGGCGUCACAACACACUUGCAGAGAGAUAAGAAUGCAAAGGAAAAACAAUAAUAGGAUAAUACAAUCCAUAUGAACAACACAUCACACAUCAAACAAUAAUACUCUGAAGAUCCCCUUUUACAUACGCAAAAACAUAAAACUAUUUGAUUUGCUUUAGUUUGAGAAGGACGCAAUCCGUCUUAAGUUGAUACAAUAGGAAAAUGAAAAACAUAAUCCAAGUGAACAACACAAAACACUGCAGAAGGAUACGAAUCAGUAAUGAUAUCCAAAAUGAACACAUCACACUACAAGAUCAAAGACAGAAGACGAAGAUGCGUAGAUUCUGUUCUUAGUGCCGAAUCCUUAUGCAUAGUGAAGGAUGUUUAGUAGACCUAAAGCAACAAACGAUGAAAAAAAAGAAACAAAAGUUAGUGAGUGACACUUGCGGGGCUCAUUGAAAUUGAGAGGCACAAGCAUAUUGAGUAUAUAUAAAUCUUAAGAAUCUGAACUACUUUUAGUCGUUUUCUUUUAAUAUUUCUAACCUCCCAUUUAUUUCUUGCUGAACAAGAAACCCAGAUGUGGAAGGAAAAGAAGAAGAAAUUGUUUGUGAUUUGAUCCUUUGAAGAGAUCAAUACACAUAUGUUUUUACAUUUUGAAAUAAUGAAACUAAUCCACCGAACACAUGCAUGACUUUUCUAAUAUUUUUUUUUUAUCAUGUUGUCCAAUUUGUGUUUGUCGGGUAUAUCAUGAUGCAAAUGGAGAGUAUCAGUCUAAUAAGGGUGAAUACUUCAAGCUAACCUAUAGCAAACAUGAAAAAAACUCAGAGAUGAAAAAAAUAAAAACCAAAGCGGAAGGGUAUUAAGAGAACUGAUUACCAGAUGGAUUAAAGGCAAUAAACGGUUUUUGGUAUCUUCGUCCUCCCAUUCAAGCUCAGUUAUCUCUUGUCCAUGACCCAUAUCUAUUGUAAACCGGGCAAGUCGUGGGACACUUGUAGCAUCAAAGGGAAGCUUUCUCAGAUUUGGACACUCUAGUACGCUUGUGUGCCACAAUGAUGGAAAGGGGAGAGGACUCCAAUAGAUACUCUCCAGCUUAGGCAAACUUGUCAGCGAUAAGAAUUCAAGUUUCUGAAAUGGUGUAAUACCUGUAAGAUUGUUUGCUUUCUCUUUGUUUAUUAUUUCUUCCACUUCGUUUGAAUAUUCAAUUUGUAGGUAGACAAGAUUUGGAGCAAACAAUAGCCAAGUCAUAUCCUUAAAGCCAAUACAGCCAUAGAUAUGCACAAACAAGAGGUUUGUAAAGCAUGGACUUGUCGGAUUGUCUAGAUCUGACAAGUCCGUCCCGCCUUCUCUGCAUUUUGUAUUAAUCUCCGAGAUAUGACUAUUUUCCAGCCAGAGCAUACGAAGAUUCUUCAUACUCACCAGCAAUGACAUAUUCAAUGGCUUUUUAUAAAAAGAUUGAAUACACAGACCAUUGAUGCAGUUCGCCAACUUUUGAUCCCCUAAUAUUUGCUCCAAACCCAAUUCCGUAGAUAUCGUUAUGGUUAGAACUUGUAGAUGCUCCAAGAUCUGUAGCUCCUUCACUGAGCUAACAUCUCCAUGAACAUUGGACUUUAGUAGUUUCAAAAUUCUUAAACUCGAAACCUUUGAUAUCUCACUGAUACUCCGAAGUCUGUGUGUAGAAGUCAAAUUUAGCUGGAUUAGCUUUUUCAACUCUUGGAAACCAACAGGCAGUUGCUCUAUACUUGUAUUCGACAAGUCAAGAUACUGUAAGGAGGUCAGCUCUGAUAUCUGCUCUGGAAGUUAAUUGAAGUUAUUAUUACCGGAUAAAUCCAAAACAAGUAGUUUUUGCAUAGAAAGGAUGAAUUCACUUGAGAGACUCUUCAAUUUAUUAUCCUGGAAAAACAUAGUUGUAAGUUCAGAACACUUGGAACAGCAACUAAUCUCUUCUAUCGCAUUACACAUUAAUGAUAAAAUUCUCACAGGUCUCCAAUCUUCAACUUUUGGUGUCUCACGUAAUCCGACUCGCGCUUGCACAACACAAAUUUCUUUCGGUUUUCCAAAGUCAGAUGCAAUCCAUAGAGCCAUUUCGCGGACUAUGUCAAUGAUGAUAGACUUAUUCGUAGAUUUUCAUUAAUGGUAGAUUUAUUUUCCUAGUAGUGGUAGAUUUAUUGUCAAAUGAUGAAAGAUUUAUUUUUGUAUAGGUUUAGUAUACAGUAGAUUUAUUUUUGAUAUAAUGAUAGAUUUAUUUUGGAUUUUAUGUAUUUAUCUUCUUCUCUAGUAGGUUAUUGACGACGAAUGGUGGAUCAAAAGAUAAAUAAUAUGAUGGAAGUGGAGUGAGUUACUAGCACGGAAAUGGAGAUUUGUUUAUCAAAAAAAAUAUUUGUAGAUUUGUUUGCUUGAAUAGUGGUAUUUGUUUAUUUAAUGGUAAAUUUAGUUUAGGAUUUGAUAGAUUUAUUCGAAAUGGUAGUAAAUUUCUUUUUAAAUAAUAAUUUAAUAAUUGCUUAGUAGUAUAAUCAAAAUGAAUGAGAUAUAAACUAAAAACAUAUGAUACAACCCAAUAAUAUAAAACAAAUUAAAAUACAUAUUCAUUUUAUAUACCAAAAAAGAAAAUAAACAAACACAAAUAAAUAAAAAACCAUUUGUCAUUUCUAACACAAUCAAGCAUUGUCUAGCAAAUAACCAAAUAUCAUAAAUGGUUCAAUGUAGAUUAAAGUAAUAAUACAACUUUUCAUUUGUUAUUGACAUUUUAGUACUUCAAAAAAUUCAUAUAUCAAACUAAAUCAGUCCUUAUAAUUAAAUGCAUUUUUCAAUUAAUUUUAAACCCACUUUUCCUCUAAUAUCCCAUAGGAUAUCACCGAGGAGGUAGGUGGUCUUACUUUGCUAAGCUUCAAAUUGUAUUGUCUUCACUUUUCAGUAUAAGACUAAUAAACAUUUAGUUUACAAUUUUGAAUUUUCUAAAUGGAGUAGGCCGAGAUCAGGUCCAGGCUAUUGAUGCGAACAAAUCUUACAAAUUGCAAACGGCUAUUUGCUUUGUGUUAGCAUUGGUCCAUUGAAUUUUCAAUUUUUUUAAUAACUUAUAUUGAGUCAUAUGGAAAUGGACAACACUCAGCGGUAUCAGUUCUUAUCAGCACCGCUGCUUUGUAUGUAGUCGCCGUCUGCUUUGUAUCGUAAAAGAAAGAAGAUUGAGUUUUGCCAGAAUCUACUCUACAAGAUUGUUGUAGUUUCUGGACACGCAGCUAAUUCAAAUGACGAACCAAUGUUCAAUGUUCAAGACCGGUGGGCAGUGAAUAAUUGAGCGUAUCAAAUUAGGCUUGCGAAUUUGUUUUUUGCUGAAGAUUUGUUCUUGGGCUCUUGUUUUAAUGUUCUUAAUGUGGUGAAGCCAUUAGGAAAGGAAUGUGAAAACUCUUAAAAUUAAGAAGACUCUUUCCAUGUCUUCUUAAGUGAAGUUGUCUCUUAAGCUUAUUGCCCCAAAUCAGAAAGCCACUAGAUAUAGUUUGGGAUUAGAUGGAAGUCAUAGCAUCUUCAGAUUAGGUUUAGGGGGUUUAAAUUAGAGAGUCUGAUAAACAGGAUCUUCAUGAUUCAGCAAAAUCAUAUAACUUUUCAUCUUGAUUCCUCCUGUUAACAACACAUAUACACUUCAAGAUGAAAUAGAAAAAGCUACAGGUAGAGGAAUUUGAUUUUGGAUAGUGAGGAAUCAAAAUACACAGUAAAUUCAGAGGCAUCACAUGCUUUUAUGAUAUCUCCUUUCACGUAAAAGCAUAAAAACUGUUGAUUAUAUAAAUACAUGUAGCUUGAGAAAAAAGCAAUCCGCCUUAACUUAUUACAUAGAAAAUUGAAAAUAGAAAAUCCAAUUGAACAACACAACACACUGCAGAGAGAGAGAGAUAAGAAUGCAUAGAAAAAACAAUAAUACAAUCCAAAUGAACAACACAUCACACUUUGAGGAAGAAAGAGAAAGCAGAAGAAGAAGCGUGGAUUCUGGUUUCUGACUGUGAGGAAUCCCAAUCCAGCUUCUGGUGUGGUUAGUCUAUACUGAAUAUGUUAAGAAGAAAUAAAAUAAACAAAGUUAGUGAAUAUUCAGAAAUUCAUCUAAGACUGCUAGGAAUAUCCAGCAAAUUCUGCCUCACCAUUAAUAUACUAAUUUUAACCAGUUUCUAUUAAAUAUUUUUAUAUAUGCCUUGCUUAACGAAUGUGAAAGGAAAAGAAGAAGAAAGAAAAUACUGUUUGUGAUUUAGUCAUUUGAAGAGCUCAAUGCACGUAUGUAUUUAAACUUUUGAAAUUGACCCCUCGUAAAUAUCCAACAAACACAGGUCUGAUGAUUUUGCAGAUAAUUUUCUAAUUUUGUGACCCAAUUUGUGUUUUGUUGGGUAUCAUGAUGCAAAUGGAUCAUAUCAGACUAAAAUAAAACGAUCACACUUCAUUCUAACCUUGAGCAAACUUGACAGAAACUCAGUAAGAUAAAUUAAUUUAUUCAAGCGGAAGAGAAUAAGAGAAAUGAUUACCCAAAUGACCGAUGGCAGGAAACGUUUUUUUGUAUCUUCAUCCUCCCAUUCAAGCUCAGUUUUCUGUUCUGGAGGAACCAUAGAUAUUUCAAACCCGUCAAGUCGUGGGACACUUGUAGCAUCUAAAGGAAGCUUUCUCAGCUUUGGACAAUUUCCUACAUAUAUGUACCGCAAUGAUGGAAAGGGGAGAGGACUCCAGUAGAUACUCUCCAGCUCAGGCAGAUUUCUCAGGGAUAAGUAUUCUAGUUUCUGAAAUGGUGUAGUACUUGUAAGAUUGGUUGCUUUCUCUUUGUUUAUGAUUUCUUCUACUUCUCCUAAAUGUGAAAUGUCUAGCCAAGUCAGAUUUGGAGCAAAGAGUAGCCAAGUCAGAUCCUUAAUGCUAUCGCAGUUUCUCAUAUUCACGGCGGAGAGGUUGGUAAAGCAUGGACUCGUCUUGCUUCCUCUGCAUUUAAUAUAUGUAUCAAUCGCCGACACAUGACUACCAUCCACCUGGAGCAGACGAAGAUUCUCCAUACUCAACAGCGAUGACAUAUUGAAUGGCUUUUCUUUAAAACCUUGAAUACCCAGACGACUGAUGCAGUUAGCCAACCUUGGAUCGCCUAAUAUAUGCUUCAAACCCAACUCGGUAGAGAUCGUUAUCUCUAGAACUUGUAGAUGCUCCAAGAGCUGCAGCUCCUUCAACAAGCUAACAUCUCCAUGAACUUUAGAAUUUCUUAGUUUCAAAAUUCUUAAACUCGACAGCUUUGAUAUCCCACUGAUACUACGAAGACUGUUUGUAUAAGUCAAAUCCAGAUGAAUUAGCUUUUUCAACUCUUGGAAACCAACUGGCAGUUGCUCUAUACUUGUGUUUGACAAGUUAAGAUACUGCAAGGAGGCCAGCUUCGAUAUCUGCUCAGGAAGUUUUUGGAAAUAGCGAUUAUCUGAUAGAUCCAAAACAACUAGCUUUUGCAUAGAGCCGAUGAAUUUACCUGAGAGAUUCAUCAACUCAUUCUUCUGGAGGAGCAGAGUUGUAAGUUCAGAACACUUGGAACCACAGGUUAUCUUUUUAAGCUCAUUCUUCAUCAAAGACAUCCUUCUCACAGCUCUCCAAUCCUUGACUUUUGGCAUUUCGUGUAAUCCGACUCCUGCUUGAACCAAAAAAGUCUCUUUCUGUUUCCCAAAGUCGGAUGCAAUCCAUAGAGCCAUUUCGCGAACCACGUCAUGCAUCACAAGAUUCACAACACAUCUUAGUUUCAAAAUUCUAUUAGACUGUUCUGUCAGUAAAUUUGCGCGGAUAAGGGUACCAAGUACCUCAUAACCCUUAUUCACUGCCCUUUUAUAAGAUUGGUGUUCCCCAAUGAAUCCCUCACAUAUCCAAUAUUCUAUCAAAUUUUCUUUAUGUAUAGGAAAAUCUUCAGGAAACAGAGCACAAUAGAGGAAACACGACUUGAUAUUUUCACCCACCAAGCUAUCGUAGCUGAACUUCAGAAUCGGAAGAAUUUUGUUUUCCAUGUCGGAAAACUCUGCAGCUGAUCUGGACAAAACAUCGACUGCAAGCUCCCAUUCUUGUACCGUAGUUUGAGAUGACAUUGUCUCACCAAUGACAACAAGCGCUAGUGGCAGACCACAACAUUCUUUAGCGACCUUUUUGGCAAGCUCGACAAUGGCAGGAUCUCUACUUAAUGUAUUGUCUCCUACCUUGCUUUUGAACAAUUCCCAUGCUUCAGUCCAUUCCAAACAGUUGACUUUCAUCGGCUCAUGAUCUCCCAUCCGCCCACAUACUUCCCGAGAACGAGUGGUGAAUGCUACUUUGCAUCCAUUUUCUCUGGUCGGAAACGGAACUCCAAUGGCUUCUAAAUCCACUUUCUCCCAUAUAUCAUCUAACAUCAGAACAAAUCUCUUCCUCUUUAAAACUCUGUGUAUAUCAGCGGCCUUGUCAUCUUCACUUUUGUUCGUUCCGCCAAGGUUUAGCUUUUGUGCAAUAUCUUCUUGAAGCUUUGAAAUAGUCGCACCUUGAGACACCACGACCCAGAUCACAACAUCAAAUCUACCAGCCACUUCAGUGAACUUAUUGUGGAUUUUCUUGAAAAGGGUAGUCUUGCCUACACCUCCCAUACCGUGCAAACCCAUGAUUCCAACUCCAUCUUCCAUAAGGCGAUUCCAUGCCUUUCCCAGCAUUGUUUCCUGACCAAUCGUAGGCCCCGUAGGCCUCUCUUCUACUGCAGAUCUCAAACCCGGCUCAGUAACCUCUUUAGAAUUACCCUCUGAUUUGAGAAUCUGGACCUCUUCCAGCAACAAGAAUACCUUUUUCCCAUAUUUGUAGCUCGAACAUACACUUUUUGAACAUAAACCACAGAGACACAACUUCUUAAGCUCAACAGGACUAGUACUAAGCAGAUCAUUGAACCGUGUAUCGAUGCUCUCGACACGUGUUAGCCAUACCUUGACAGCUUCAAGCCUUUGUUGAUGUUGUGCCUCCUCUCUCGCCACUUUGUUCUUCACCUCAGCUUCAAUUGCCUUGAGAUCAUCCAUUUCCCUCUUCAGAGCCCUGAGAUUCUCCUUGAGGUUUCGAAUAUAACCCUUACCACAUAAGCAUCUGACGAUAUGGUUCAACGUUUGAUCACAGGAAAGUUGGAAAGACACACAAUUCCCCAUGGUGAUAGAAAGAGAGAAAACUUUGAGUAAGCAACAAACGAAAGCUAAAGAUGAAGAAGUGUUUUAUGUGAAAAGCAUUUAACUAAUUCUGAAGAAGGAAGAGAGGAUUAGUUAGAUUUUAGUCUACUAUGCGUUUUAAUUUCCGCCAUUGUUUCGAAGGACGUUUAGUCGUUUACUUUAGAUGCAAUUAUGUUUGAAAAAUUCAAAGGUCAAUUACCAACUCUUAUCAUUAUUAAGAUGCAACUAUGUUUUAAAUUAUACAAAGGUCAAUGAUUUAAUCGCCCAGUUUGGAUUAUUAUGCAACUAUGUUUUAAAAAAACAAAGCUCAAUUAAUGUUUAAUCACUGGGUUUGGAUUAUUAUCAUCACUUGUUGUUAAUUAUUUAAAUCAUUCACUUUCAAAUAUUUGUGAAAAAUCAAUUACUUUAGAAUAUUUUCCAAAUGACAUGGGAACCAAUAACCAUGAUCAAAAACGGUGUGGUGCGAUCGCCCGAAGCCAAAAACAACUUACAAGAAAUCUGGAACAGAGCAGACAAUGGAGAAGUCUAAGGAGCUCGUCAAGGAUAGAAAUCUGGAACAGAGCAGACAAUGGAGAAGUCUAAGGAGCUCGUCAAGGCUGAGAACUCAGAAUGGCCUCCAAAUUUUAUCUGCACCUGAAUUCAGAAUGGCCUAACAAAAAGUGCAGAAUGGCUUAUAAAAAUUGCCCAUACCAAGCAAAAAAAAAAAAAAACAAAGUCAGUCAAUAACAGAUAUCAGUCUCGAAGUUGCUUUUUUGUUUCACCAAAAAAAAAAAAAGAAGAAGUUGCUUCUUUUGUGGGAAAAGCAGAGGUCAUAUAAAGGCUAAUUGUUACAAGUUUCAGAGGAAAGUAAAUCAGUUUUAGAAUCAUCAAGACUAUAUGGAAAAACCAUUGAGAUUCACAGAAGCAAAGAAUUUUAUUUUGGACAUUGAGGAAUAAAAAUCUAAAAUCAAAAUCCAAAGGUACAUUGAAGGAUGUUUAGACCCAAAACGGCUACAAAAGAAAAGAAAAAAAAAAGUUAGUGACACUUGUGGAACGCAUUGAAAUUGAGAGGGACAACAUAUUCUGAAAAUAAAAUUCCUUUUCAACAUGUCUGCAGGGAUUAUCCAACUAGUUCAACCUCACCAUUAAUAUCUUAAGAAGCUGAACUAGGUUUAAACGGUCUUGUUGCGGAUAUCACCAAUAUCAAUUCGUUCAAAUUGAGUUUCCGAUCUGAAUCUUAAGAUGAAAUAGAAACGAGAAAUAAGCAUUAGAAACUACACACAAGAUUUAUCCAGUUUAGGCGCCAACCGCGACCCUACAUCUGGCAGAGACUUCCUCGGAAUUCACUAAGAGAAUGGUUUACAGAGUAGCCGUUACUCUCACUGGAAGAUACCCCGAGAAUCCCUUUCACUCACCGGAAAGAUCUCACAGUUUUCACUCACCAAUUACAAAAAAUGGUAUGUCGAAGAAGAUCUCUCUCUCUCUCUCUCUCUCUCUCUCUUUCUCUCUCUCUCUCUCUCUCUCUCUGCAACUAAUUAAUGACCGACCCGUAGUAACAAACCGAAACAACCCCUGCGCGUAAACACACGCUCUAACGGUCACUCUUCGAUAUCAGCUUCUAGAAGAAGCUCGUAACGAUGACGUCUUGGAGUCUUACCUUAUCCGGUUCACUUAAUCCUGAAAUCAAUAUCCUGACUUCAUUAACCGGAACCUGCUAAUUGAACUAGAUGGUUUAUCAACCAAACCCAUCUGACAGGUUUUUUAACUUUCUCUUUUAACAUUUUUCUCCUCCCAUAUAUUCUUUGCUGAACAAGAAACCCAAAUGCCAAAUGUGAAAGAAAAGAAGAAGAAGAAGAAUUAUUUGUGAUUUGAUCAUUGAAGAACUCAAUACACACAUGUUUUAUAAUUUUGGAAUUAAUGAUACCCCAUACAAAUCCACCAAACACAUGUUUAUUUUCAACGUAAUUUUACAGUUUGUGAUCCAGAUUGUGUUUGUUGAGUAUCAUGAUGCACAUAUGGAUCAUAUCAGUCUGAUAAAACGAUUCAGACCUCAUGCUAACCUUGAGUGAAAGAAACUCAGUAGUAAAAAUAAUUACCCAAACAGAAGAGUUUAAAGGCAUCUCCUAUGUAUAAUUCUAUAUUUUACUCUAUUUAGAUACUCUAUUUUAAAGUAACUUCAAAAUGGAAUUGUGUUAUUGUUGACAAUCUUCCCUUCCUCUUACAUUCACUCUGGUUUGAUUUCUUUCUCUCUUUCUCUCUCCUUCCUUUCUCUCAGUCUCUCUCUCUAGUUCUUGCUCUGUUUCACUCAUUGUUAUUGUUUGCUUGUUCUAUAUUGUUUGCUUGUUCUAAGUGAAAACAAGAAGAAAGUUAGAGAAAACAUUUAAUAGGCUACAUCUUUGAUAUUUGAUCUUUCGAUGCUUUUCUUACACAAACACAACACAUACACUUAUACUACUUGAUACUUGAACUCACUUGGACUCUAGACUUAACCACUUCUUCAAUGCCAUACUUCUAGUACUAGACUAGUUGUACAAGCAACCUUACUUCAAACAUCAUUACCUUUAACAACUCUUAACUAUUCUAACAACUCUUAAAGUAUUCUAACUCUAUACUUAGACACAUACACAAACUCGAUAUUUUGGCUUCUUGGGCUGAUGACAAUUCGCAGGCCCAUUACUCUUAAACAAGAAGCCCAAUCCCUUUCUCCAGAGUUGACUUCUCUUCUUGGUUGACUCUCUUCUUCUUCUCUGAUUCCUUCUUCCACCACACGAGACUUCAUCUUCUUCCUUUCUUCUUCUAAUUGAAGCAACUUUCUUGUUUGCUAGAUUUAAUCAAGGACUCAACCUUCAACAGUUAUCCUCCAAUUUUAUUCCAUGGAGUCAUGACUAAAAUAUUUAGAGUAACUCCAUUUUUAGAGUAACUGUAACAUCCCAAACCCAGCCCAAUUAGAGGAGGCCCAGCAAAUCCAGGCCCACUCCAGAAACCCUAAUAUAAAUAGAGAAUUAGGAGUUAAUGAGCCUCAUUUUGCCUAAUUACCCUAGCCCCCAAAGAAAAGAAAGUGAGAGAGAGAAGGAGAAGCUGCACGCCGUCGCCGAGGACGAGAGCCGCCGCCGCCGCCGGAGAAGGGUGCCGCCGCCGCCGCCGCUUGCCGAGAGAAGAAGGAGCACUCGCCUGCCUCCACCUUCUCAGAAGUUGCUUGAUUCUUUUGCCUCUUCUAGUUCUCCUUAAUCUCAGAUCUGCUUUUAGGCCAAGGUGAGGAUUAGAUCUAGGUCUUUCUUCUUAUCCCUUUAUCUUCUUCUGUUGUGUUGAGUCUAGAUCUGGUGGGACAGGUAUGUCUUCUUGUGCAUCUAGGCAGAUCCAUAUAUAUAUAUANNNNNNNNNNNNNNNNNNNNNNNNNNNNNNNNNNNNNNNNNNNNNNNNNNNNNNNNNNNNNNNNNNNNNNNNNNNNNNNNNNNNNNNNNNNNNNNNNNNNGUAGAAGUCCUAAAGGUCAUAAGUCUGUUUCUGUAUAGUGAUGUUGCCGAAUGCAGGCUUUGUUUGCUGGGUUAUGUUGCCGUCUGUGUGACCGUGGCAAUAAUCCAUUCAUCCGGUGGAGUGAUGACCCACGGGGCUGUCCGUGUGACAGGGUCUCUGUCUGUGUGACAGGGCGUCUGUCUGUGUGACAGGGUGAGAUGUCGACCUGUGUCCGAGUGACAAGGUGGUUUGGCCUAUUGAGAGGCGGGAUCGGAGACAUCACUGCUUGUUAGUUGCUUGUGCACUUGUAGAGUGCUUGUUUGGUUUCAUUAGAUUUAUUCUUAAUAUGUUGGUGGAAAUAAAUGAAUAAGGCGGGAGCCUGGUUUGGUUCUCACUGAGUAAUUCUUCCAAAUUACUCACCCCUCUCUCUCUAAAUUCCGAUGUGCAGGUGAAUGUGAUUGUGAUUGUGAAUGUGAUGAUGUCUGGGAAGAAGUAGACGAGUAAUUCUAGUGUGGUGUGCCUUCAGAAAUGGAGGAAGUUUUAUUGUUUUCAAGAACUAUUUCACAUUUCUUCUUAAGACAAUGUUUCUAUUUUAUUUCAGAUUUCAUAAGUUAUUUCAUUUCUAUGGUAAGACUUAGAUUUGGGUUUGGAUUUGAAUAAAGAACAACAAGUUAUUUGGAAUUGAUUUAGUUUAGGUUAGUUAAUAUCCCGGUUUAUUCUGGUUUCCUUCGGAAGCAGGAAUCGGGGUGUUACAAUUUGGUAUCAGAGCAUGGUUCGAACUAGGUGUUAAGAGAGCUAUCUAGAAUAGUGGGAAUGGGAUUCGGAUUUCAAAAAAAAAAUGGUUUAAAAAGUUUUUAAAAGUUUUCAAGUUUUCAAAGUUCAAAGAUUUUUCCAAAUGUUUUCAAAGAAAGAAAACUACCACCUAGACUGGCCUCUCUAGUUUUUGUUGUUCUUUUCUUUUGCAGGAAGUUAGUCUUUACGGGACCGGACUGACUUAUCUGCCUUUUAUAGUUUUGUAAGCCCGAGGUUGACCAAGUGUUGGACCUUCUCCGGAAAGUUCACCCCCAGAUUGAAAGCAGUGGAAACUGCUGGAAGUGAGCAGGUGAAGACCAUUGGAAUCCAUGAAGAGGUGCCUAUCUUGUUGGAAGGAGCAGAUUUUCCUUGGACUCUAGUGAAAAUGAAGUUGGGCCACUAUGAUGUUAUCCUUGGAAUGGACUGGCUGAAGCAUUAUGAAGUUGUCCCGAAUUGCCGGAAGUCGAGGGCCUAUGUUCCGUAUCAAGGAGGUCGGAUUGCCUUUCAGGGAGUAAAGACCGACACCGGAGUGCCAGUCAUUUCGAUGAUUCAUGCCGAGAAUCUUAUAGAGGAAGGAUGUGAAGCUUUCUUGGCGACAGUCUCUAUGGUAGGAGAGGGAGCACCUAAGAGCCUUGAGGAGAUACCAGUGGUGAAUGAAUACGCGGACGUAUCCAACCAUUGACUGGACCUCCGCCAAGAAGAGGAGUUGACUUCACUAUCGAAUUAGAACCAGGAACAGCCCCUGUUUUGAAGGUUCCAUAUCGAUUGGCACCAGCAGAGAUGGCUGAGCUAAAGAAGCAGUUGGAGGACUUGACGGAUAAAUGAUUUAUUCGGCCAAGCAGCUCGCCAUGGGGAGCGUCCGUGCUAUUUGUAAAGAAGAAAGAUGGAAGCUUUCGACUUUGCAUUGAUUAUAGAGGGCUGAAUAAGGUGACCAUCAAGAAUAAGUAUCCCUUGCCAAGGAUUGAUGAGUUGUUGGACCAGUUAGAAGGAGCUUCAUGGUUCUCUAAAAUUGAUUUGGCGUCAGGCUAUCACCAGAUUCGGAUAGCAGAGGAGGACAUUAGUAAGACAGCAUUCCGAACUCGAUAUGGUCAUUAUGAGUUUGUGGUAAUGCCGUUUGGAUUGACUAAUGCGCCUGCAGCUUUCAUGAAGUUGAUGAAUGAUAUUUUUUUAGAGCACUUGGAUAAGUGUGUGAUUGUCUUUAUUGAUGACAUCCUGGUCUAUUCAAGGUCGGAGAGAGAGCAUGAAUGGCAUUUAGGAAUGAUUCUGCGGAAGUUAAGGGAUCAGCAGCUUUUUGCGAAGCUAAGCAAGUGUAGCUUCUGGCAGAGGAAGAUGGGAUUCCUUGGCCAUAUUGUCUCAGAAGAGGGAGUAGCAGUGGAUCCUGAGAAGAUCACUGCAGUGACAGAGUGGCCUGUACCUAAAAGUGUUACUGAGGUCUGUAGCUUUUUGGGUCUGGCUGGGUAUUAUCGUAAGUUUGUGCCUAAUUUCUCCCGUAUUGCCAAACCUCUCACCAGCUUGACGGAGAAGAAUGUUAAGUUUGAGUGGAUGGAUAAGAGAUCUCAGAGUUUUGAGGAGUUGAAGCAGAAACUCACAGAGACUCCGAUAUUGAUACUUCCAAGGUCAGGAAUACCAUAUGAUGAAUACACCGAUGCCUCUGGAUCCGGGUUAGGAUGUGUGCUGAUGCAGGAAAAGAAGGUCGUAGCNNNNNNNNNNNNNNNNNNNNNNNNNNNNNNNNNNNNNNNNNNNNNNNNNNNNNNNNNNNNNNNNNNNNNNNNNNNNNNNNNNNNNNNNNNNNNNNNNNNNGCUUCGGAAGCAUGAAGUGAAUUAUCCGAUUCAUGAUUUGGAGUUAGCAGCAGUAGUAUUUGCUCUGAAGAUUUGGCGUGCUUACCUGUAUGGGGAGAAGGUGCACAUAUAUACUGAUCAUCAGAGUUUGAAGCAUGUGUUCACUCAGGAUGAUUUGAAUCUGAGGCAGAGGAGGUGGAUAGAAUUAUUGGCUGAUUAUGAUUUGGAAAUUUCCUAUCAUCCUGGAAAAGCCAACCAAGUGGCAGAUGACUUGAGUAGAAGGAGAAAUGCGGUUUCUGAGGCUAAGGAAACGCAGGAGCUGAUAGCGACUUUGGCGAAUUUGAGUUUGUGUGUCGCUGAAGUAGAGGAUGAUGCAGCAGGAUUUGAAGCAUUGGAUAAUGCUGACCUGCUGAUGAGGAUUCGUCAGGAGCAAGCGCAUUAUUUGUCCCUUAAGGAGAUUUUUGAAAAGCAAGUGGUUGGGUACCACAAAGCAGACAACGGGACUUACAUGUAUAGGAAUCGAGUCUGUGUUCCCAUGAAUGAUGAGCUAAGGAGGGAAGUGUUAAGUCAGGCUCAUCAGUCGAAGUUUUCUAUUCAUCCAGGGAACACCAAGAUGUAUCGGGAUCUAAACCGCUACUACCGUUGGUCUGGUAUGAAGCGCGAUAUUUCUGCUUGGAUAUCUCAGUGUUCUACAUGUCAGCAAGUGAAAGCAGAGCAGAUGGCACCAAGUGGACUUCUCCAAAACUUGCCAUUACCAGAAUGGAAAUGGGAUAUGGUAACUAUGGAUUUUGUGACGGGGUUGCACAGGACACUAAGUAAGAAGAAUGCGAUUUGGGUAAUCGUAGACCGUCUUACUAAGUCAGCUCACGCUUUGCCAAUUAAAAAGACGGAUGGAGCAGAGCAGUUGGCGCAGAAGUAUAUUGAUGUUAUUGUGAGGUUGCAUGGAGUUCCAGUGAGCAUAGUGUCGGAUCGGGAUCCAAAGUUUACAGCUAGUUUCUCGCAGGCCUUCCAGAAAGCAUUGGGAACAAAGGUUCAUCUCAGCACAGCAUACCACCCUCAGACAGAUGGCCAAUCAGAAAGGACGAUUAGGACCCUGGAGGAUCUGUUGAGAACGUGUGUCCUAGAUUGGGAAGGAAGUUGGGAGAAGCAUUUGCCUUUGGCGGAAUUUGCUUAUAAUAACAGCUAUCAUAGUAGCAUUGGGAUGGCACCAUAUGAGGCUCUAUAUGGUCGGCCUUGUCGCACACCUCUGUGCUGGACAGAAGUAGAAGAAAUGAGAGUGCUAGAGCCAGAGCUCCUUGAGGAGGCGUCUAAGCAAGUGGAAAUGCUUAAGACAAGGUUGAAAGAAGCUCAUGAUCGCCAGAAGAGCUAUGCAGAUCAGUGAAGGCAGGAGUUGUCUUUUGAAGUUGGUGAUAUGGUGUAUCUGAAGUUGAGGACCUUCAGAGAGAAUGAUAAGCAUCGGCUGAUGAAGAAGCUUAAGCCUAGGUACAUGGGACCGUACCCUAUCCUGGAAAGGAUUGGAGAAGUGGCUUACCGUUUGGAGUUGCCCAAAGAAUUAGCUGAGUUCCAUGAUGUGUUUUAUAUCUCUCUUCUGAGGAAAGUUGUGAGGGAGCCAUAACUCAUUUUGCCCCAGCCGCCAGCAGAUGUAAAGAAGGACUUCUCAGCAGCAUAUCAGCCUGAGGCAGUGUUGGAAUUUCAGGAAAAGGAGUUGAAUGGUAAGAGAAAACCAGCGGUUAAGGUGUGUUGGGAAAGGGAUGGAAUCCGCGAAGAAACCUGGGAAGUAGAGCAGAAAAUGCGGAAGGAAUUCCCGGAACUCUUUAAGGAUAAGGGAGAAACCGGAGGAGUGGGAGAGAAUUCGGGGACGAAUUCUAUGGAAGUAGGGGAGAGUGGUAACAUCCCAAACCCAGCCCAAUUAGAGGAGGCCCAGCAAAUCCAGGCCCACUCCAGAAACCCUAAUAUAAAUAGGGAAUUAGGAGUUAAUGAGCCUCAUUUUGCCUCUAAUUACCCUAGCCCCCAAAGAAAAGAAAGUGAGAGAGAGAAGGAGAAGCUGCACGCCGUCGCCGAGGACGAGAGCCGCCGCCGCCGCCGCCGCUUGCCGAGAGAAGAAGGAGCACUCGCCUGCCUCCACCUUCUCAGAAGUUGCUUGAUUCUUUUGCCUCUUCUAGUUCUCCUUAAUCUCAGAUCUGCUUUUAGGCCAAGGUGAGGAUUAGAUCUAGGUCUUUCUUCUUAUCCCUUUAUCUUCUUCUGUUGUGUUGAGUCUAGAUCUGGUGGGACAGGUCUGUCUUCUUGUGCAUCUAGGCAGAUCCAUAUAUAUAUAUAUAUAUAACUAAUAAGAUCUAGGAUCUCAUUAGAGGAAGAACCAGCAUGAUUGAUUGAUAACCCUGUUGAUUGGUUAGUGAUUGGUAGAAGUCCUAAAGGUCAUAGUCUGUUUCUGGUAUAGUGAUGUGCCGAAUGCAGGCUUGUUUGCUGGGUUAUGUGCCGUCUGUGUGACCGUGGCAAUAAUCCGUUCAUCCGGUGGAGUGAUGACCCACGGGGCUGUCCAUGUGGCAUGCCGGGAUUGGUCUGUCCGUGUGACAGGGUCUCUUUCUGUGUGACAGGGCGUCUGUCUGUGUGACAGGGUGAGAUGUCGACCUGUGUCCGAGUGACAAGGUGGUUUGGCCUAUUGAGAGGCGGGAUCGCAGACAUCACUGCUUGUUAGUUGCUUGUGCACUUGUAGAGUGCUUGUUUGGUUUCAUUAGAUUUAUUCUUAAUAUGUUGGUGGAAAUAAAUGAAUAAGGCGGGAGCCUGGUUUGGUUCUCACAAAUUAUUCACCCCUCUCUCUCUAAAUUCCGAUGUGCAGGUGAAUGUGAUUGUGAUUGUGAAUGUGAUGAUGUUUGGGAAGAACUAGACGAGUAAUUCUAGUGUGGUGUGCCUUCAGAAAUAGAGGAAGUUUUAUUGUUUUCAAGAACUAUUUCAUAUUUCUUCUUAAGACAAUGUUUCUAUUUUAUUUCAGAUUUCAUAAGUUAUUUCAUUUCUAUGGUAAGACUUGGAUUUGGGUUUGGAUUUGAAUAAAGAACAACAAGUUAUUUGGAAUUGAUUUAGUUUAAGUUAGUUAAUAUCCCGGUUUAUUCUGGUUUCCUUUGGAACCAGGAAUGGGGUGUUAUAAUAACUCUAUUUUUAAAGUAAUUCCAUUUUUUUAAUAGUAACUCUAUUUUGGAGAGAAAUAUGAAGUAGGUUUAGAGAGAAUUUUCUUCAAACUCUAUUUUGGAAUGAAAUUUGGAGUAGAGUAGGAGAUGUCUAAGAGAACUGAUUACCCCAUCAAAUGAACGCAAGAAACGAUUCUCGGUAUCUUCGUCCUCCAUUCAAGCUCAGUUUUUUGUUCUCGAGGAAUCAAUCUUAUUACAAACUGGCCAACUCAUGAGAAACUUGUAGCAUUUAAGGGUAGCUUUCUCAGCUUUGGACAGAGAUCAGCUACUAUGUGCUUCAGAAAUGGAAAGGCAAGAGGACUCCCGUAGAUACUCUACAGCUUAGGCAAAUUCCUAAAUGUUAUAAAUUUUAGUUUCUGAAAUGGUCUUAUACCUGUAAGAUUGUUACUUUUUUUUUUACAAUGUCUUCCAGUCUUCUUGAAUUUUCAAUCUGUAGGUAGACAAGAUAUAUUGACUAGAUUUUGUUGAAAAAUGUCAAUCUCUAAAACAUUGCUGCAGUUCGCCAACCUUCAAUCGCCCAAUAAUUGCUCUAAAUCCAACUCCGCAGAUAUGAUUAUGGUUAGAACUUGUGGAUUCUCCAAGAGCUGAAGCUCCUUCAAUAAGCUAGCAUCUCCAUGAAAAUUAGAAUAUUAUAGUUUCAAAAUUCUUUAACUUGAUACUUUUGAUAUCCCAUUGAUACUAGAAAGUCUCUAUGUAACAAUCAAAUUCAGCUGACUUCGCUUUUUAAUAUCUUGGUAGCCAACAUGGAGUUGCUCUAUACUGUAUACGACAAGUCAAGAUACUGCAAGGAUGCCAACUCUGAUAGCUUUUUCAUAAAGCGGAUGAAUUUACCUGAGAGAUUUUUCAAAUUGUCACUCUGGAGGAACAUAGUUGUAUAAGUUCAGAGCACUUGGAAAUGCAAGUUAUCUCUUUAAUCGUAUUCUUCAUUAAAGACAUCCUUCUCACAGCUUUCCAAUGCUUGACUUUUGGUAUUUCAUGUAGUCCAACAUAACCCUUAUUCUUCGCUCUUUUAAAAACUUGGCAUUCUCCAAUGAAUCCCUAGAUCACGUACUCUAUCAAUUUUUCUUUAUCUAUUCGAACAUCUUCUGGAAACAGAGCACAAUAAAAGAAACAUGACUUGAUACGUUCAUCCACCAAGCAAUUGUAGCUGUACUGGACAUUUUGCUAAUGUUGAGCAAACAUGACUUUAUCUAUAGAGGAAACAUGACUUUAUCUAUAGUGUUUUUGGUCAAUAGGUGGAAUGCAUUUAGCUAAUGACGAUGAAAGAGAGAGAGAUUGUGUUAGAUUUCAUUCCUCUUUGCUUUGUAAUUUCUCCCAUAGUUUCAAAGUCGUCGACUUGAUGCAACCAUGUUUUUAUAAAGAUGAUUAAUCCCCAGUUUCGGAGUAUUUUAAUCACAUUAGAUGCCACUAUGUUUUAAAAGACAAAGCUCAAAUUCGUUGACUUGAGCUUUUCAAGAACGAUUUGAAACGUGUGGCUGAUGUCCCAGAAAGAAAUGCACCUGAUUUCAGAAUGGCCUCCAGAAACCUGCACCAUACCAAGUAAAAUCAAAACAAAUUAAAGUCAGAUAAUAAAAAAUUAAAAGAGGAAUGCUUCUGGGGGACAACUCCUAAGCAGCAUUGCUCUUAGAUUUAGAAGGUUCAAGAAGAGAUUAUUUCUGUACCAGCAAAACUUGGCAUAUUCUGAGGCUUAAGGAGGAUAUAAAACGUUGGUUGAAAGCUGUGUGGUUCAAGAGAGCCACUCCAAAGCAUGCUUUCACCUUUUGGACGGCAAACUAAGACAGGUUACCACUGAAAACAAAGCUUGUGAGCUGGGGAAUUAAUAUCUCUCCAACAUGCUGCCUUUGUGACAUGGAGGAAGAGACUAGAGACCAUUUGUUUCUACACUGUCCAUUUUCUGAAGCAGUUUUGACCAUGGGGAUUCGGUGACUCGGAUUUUUUUGGAGUCUCAUUCUCUAAUUGGCAGUCCAUGAUCAACUGGAUGCUUCAACGAACACCAAGACUCUCCUCUACUUACUUGUUAUGGGGUGAACGAAACCAGAUAAUACAUGAUGGUCCUCUAUCUUCUGAAAACCAUCUCUUCGAUUAGUUGGAUAGACUGAUUAGAGACACAUUGUUGGCACACAAUCCCAGCGUAACUAUAGGGGUCUUCUAUCUCUUUGGUUUAAGAACCACUAGUUCUUCAAGCUCGAUUGUAAUUCUACUAAAAUGAUCUGUUUCCAAGCCUUUUUCCUUUUUUAGGCUUUUGAAACAGUGGCUGAGAGAUUUAUAGAAUAGUAGCGGAUUAAGCAAGAAUAUAGAGAGAUUUAGGUGAGAUUAAUGAAAAACUAAAGAAAAGAAGAGAGAAUCAAGAGAUUUAGAGAGAAAGAAAUGUAUUCUCAUUUUCUUAGAUCUAUAGAAAGCUGCUACAUUGUGUUUAAGUAGGAAGACAAAGAAAACUCUAACACAUAUGAGUAUACUAAAUACCUUAUAAAGUUUUAUAAAGUUUUAUAAAAUCUUAUAAAGUCUUAUAAAGUCUUUUAAAGUUUUCUAAUUGGAUUCCCACCAGAAAAGCUGAGAAUGAUCCAUCUUGUUUAACAGUGGCUAAUGUAAUAUACAAUAUAAUUCAAAUUUUAUUAAAAAAAAUAUAAGUUGCUUCUUUUGUGGGCAAAAAACAGGUCAUACAAAAGCUCGUCGUUAGUCUUUACAAGUUUCAGAGGACAGUAAUAUAUAAAAUCAUCAAAUAAUAUCGAAAACCCAUAGAAAUACACAAAAGCGUGUGUUCAAGAGGAAAGAAUUGUACAAGAAUAAUCUAUAACAUGUUGCAUCUAAUUGUGUCGAUGUUACAUGGGAUCUUCUUCGUCCAUCUACUAUAGUCAUAACAGGAUGUUAAAGCAAGACUUAAAGAUGAUGGAUCCGAGUCUGAAGUUACAGAAACGUGGAUUAAGCAAUAAAUUGGAGAUGAUGAAAAUAAGUUAUGCCCAAAGUAGCUUAUGAUGUGGAAGUGGGUUUUGUUUUUUUUUGCGAAUCCUAAAAGAUUAUUGUGUUGUGCUGAUUCUACGUUAGUCUUAGAAGAAUGGAGUGUGUAAAAUAGAGAAAAUUUUAUAAAAGAAGUAACGUUCAUAUGUAGAAAAGCAAGCUUUUGAAUGAAUAAUGGCUUGGUUUAUUUUUCUGUUGAAAGAAAAAAAAAAUUAUUUAAUAUUUCAAAACGAGUGUAAAAGUGAAAUACUUUCUCGCGAUAGAAAAAGUAUUUCACUUUCUCGCGACAGAAAAAAUAUUUCACUUUCUCGCGACAGAAAAAGUAUUCCACUUUCACUGCUGGUGAUCUAAAUGACGAUCCCAAAUAAACAAAUAAUAUUAGAAAUUUAUCUAUACACUAUUAUUUGCGAAGUUAAAAAUUUUAGGUAUUGUCCCCACAACAAUUGUUCUACGUGGCAUUAAUGAAAAAAUAUUAUUUAUUGUUUUAAUUUGUUUUAAUAGAUCGAUCAUUAAUCUUACGUGUAAAAACUUGUGACUUGGCUUUUUUCUUCGAUAAUGGGCUACAGAGUUUGUUCAUGGGCCAGCGAUUUUUUUUUUCACUCAUAGCCACCGAUUCUGGUAAUAGGGCACCGACGUCGAAACCCUAAACUCUAAAGAAUAUAUCCUACUAUAUAUACAUGUAUUAUCUACAUAUAUUUUUACAUACAACAACUGUCUUCAAGGUCUAGCAAUUUUUACAAAACUCGUCCACCUCUUUACACGAAUACAUCUUUUGUAUAUCCCAAUCUAGUUUAAAAUAUAUCGUUUAUUUAGUUGGUUGUUCUUCCAUGCUAACUUUUGAAUCGUUUUGUUCUGAUCGAGAUUCUUUUAUGCUAACCAGUCAAAUAUCUAUGUUUUUUUUCUAUCGUGUUCUAUAUUAUUAUGCAUCACAACUAUUUUAUUUUUUAAUCCCUGUUUUACUCUCUAUGCGAUUGGUCAUCGAGAUAUCAUAUUUGUGUUCUUUCUUUUGCUUUGUAAUUCUAUAUAUAAAAUUCGAUGCUUCAGUAUUAGAUAUUCAUGUUUCUCUUUAUUAAAUUUUUCUUAUGGUUAUAUUGAGUUAUUAUUCGUAAAUAUAGAUUGACCUGAGCUUCUUUAUUGUUUUCAUUGAACCUAGAGUUUAUCGUGCAAACUAUAGGUGAUUGGUUCAAACUUUUGCAAUCAUAUCUUCAAAUGAAUCUAACAGGUAAUUGUAAAUAAAUCAUUAGUACUUUUUUUUGUCAACAACUUAUUAGAACUUCCAAUUUUCUUAAUUGAUAUUCGUAAACUCUAUAAUUUAUUAUUUUGAUAUUCUUAAAAGGAUCAAAACCAUAGAAAUGAGUUUUUUUUUUGUGUGUAUAAUUCAUGUUUUAGUUUAGGUUUGUAUUAAUUUUUCUGGUAACAUAUUGUGAAUGAAUGUUAUUUAUUGUUUGAUUGUUUGAUUGUUCUUUGUUUCUCCUUGGGUUCUACUAUACAUUUUCUUUAUAUUGUUGUUUAUGUUUAUUUUUAUUUCUAAAUAUAAUUUUAUGGUUUUUGUGGUAGCUUUUGUGGACAUGUAAAAAAAAAAAAAGGAGUAACCAUUUCAGAUUAAUUUUGGUUUCAUAGUUUACUAAAGAUAUGUAACAUGAACAAAACGUCUAUUGUUUUAUAAAAUUCCCAUUGUUUUCUACCCAAAGGCAAUUAUGUUGGUUCUGGAAAAAAUGUUUUAUAGUUUUGCUUUUUACCCAACACAUUCUUUUAUCAGAAAAACAUUAAAUCACUCUCAAGAUUAAACUUAUCAGGCAUUAAAGCAAUAUUUUUGUUGGUAAGUCGAUGAAUGAGAAUGUGAUGUCUCAUAACUUCAAAGAGCAAAGGAAAAAUAAGUGACAACGAGACUAGAUUCGGUGUGAGUAGAAUCUUUACGCAUGUUAAGUAUUUGUUGAUAUACAGCAAUCAUAUUGAGAACAGAGUGCAAACCAAUUGCAAAUUGCACCAUCCAAUUGGUGUUAAAUUAUAUUAUGGUUAAUCCCUGACCCAUUUCUUAGUUUCAUCAUUAAUUAAUGAAUCAUCAGUUUUUUUUAACCCCUGAUGAGAGAUAAAAUCAGCUGAAGGAAGGAAAGUCACCAAUACAGAGGAAGAAGAAUAUUUGCUAUAAAAUAUUCAGGUCUUAAUUUUCAUCAUCCUUGUAAUUUGUUUCAGCUUGCUAAAACUACUUUUUUAGUGUUGCAGACUUCAUCGGAAUACCUAAUAAAUUGAUGAUUCUCUGAUACCAGAAUCUAAGAAAUAUACUCACACGUGAUAAACUGAAAUUUUUGUGAAUUGCAGAAUGAACAUACUCACACGUUGCAUUUCUUAUAUGUUUUGAUGUGAAACAAGUAAUUCUUCUGUCAUAUAGCUUUGUUGCUUUAAAAUUAAUCAGUCUGCUAUUACCAGUUACUUUUAAAUCAGAAUUUCAUAACGUAAUGUGGUAGCAUAAUCCAAAUUUGUUGAUUUAAGUAGGAUAUCCCGAAUAGGAAAUGUUGUAGUUCGUGUAUGGCAUACUUCAAAUCUUAGAAUAUGUUUUGGCUUGAGUCUUCAAGAUGUGCUAGAUAGUUAUCAACUUAUCAUCUUGAGGAAAUGAACUUAAAGAAUUAUAUAAGAGAUAUACUCAUAAUUCAUAUAUACUAUAAUCCAUUUUAUUGCCAAUUUUUUUUUUUGAGUUAGAACCUAUAAAACUUAAAAACAUAUAUCAUGGUAGAAUCAAGUGUCAUCUCACUAAGACUUAUUAUGCUCAUAUAUGGUUCUAUUGAUUUUAAAAAAAAAAUAAUAAUUAAACAUACGAAUUAACCAAAAUAUAGUUUUAAAAGUUUUAAGGUCUGCUAUGUUUUUUUAAAGUGUUAGAGCAUUUUCAUCCCUUAAAUCUAUUAGAGGUUCUUAAACAUAUUUUAAUAUUAAAUUUGUCAAAUAUUUUAAUAUUAAAUUUUAAACUGCUUAUCCUAAUCAAUUAAAACACGACACCUAGCUAAGAGAUUCAUUAAAAUCGAUCCUUAUUUAAGAAUCACAAUAACCAGUCCUUAAAAUUAAAUGCAUUUUUCAAUUAAUUUUAAACCCACUUUUCCUCUAAUAUCCCCAUAGGAUAUCACCGAAGAGGUAGGUGGUCUUACUUUGCUAAGCUUCAAAUUGUAUUGUCUUCACUCUUCAGUAUAAGACUAAUGAACAUUUAGUUUACAAUUUUGAAUUUUCUAAAUGGAGUAGGCCGAGAUCAGGCCCAGGCUAUAACCGCUUCUUACAGGCUAUUGAUGCAAUCAAAUGUUACAAAUUGCAAACGGCUAUUUGCUUUGUGUUAGCAUUGGUCCAUUGAAUUUUCAAUUUUUUUUUAAUAACUUAUAUUGAGUCAUAUGGAAAUGGACAACACUCAGUUUAAUAAUAGAUGUCCGGUAUCGGUUCUUAUCAGCACCGCUGCUUUGUAUGUAGUCGCCGUCUGCAAGAAUCAUUCUGAGAAAUGCUAGACAAAAGUGAGAAAGACGAUUUCGUAAAAGAAAGAAGAUUGAGUUUUGCCAGAAACUACUCUACAAGAUUGUUAUAGUUUCUGGACACGCAGCUAAUUCAAACGACGAACCAAUGUUCAAGACCGGUGGGCGGUGAAUUGCGAAUUUGUUUUUGGCUGAAGAUUUGUUCUUGGGUUCUUGUUUUAAUGUUCUUAAUGUGGUGAAGCCAUUAGGAAAGGAAUGUGAAAACUCUUAAAAUUAAGAAGACUCUUUCCAUGUCUUCUUAAGUGAAGUUGUCUCUAGUUAUUGCCCCAAAUCAGAAAGCCACUAGACAUAGUUUAGGAUUAGAUGGAAGUCACAGCAUCUUCAGAUUUAAAUUAGAGAGUCUGAAAAACAGGAUCUUCAUGAUUCAGCAAAAUCAUAUAACUUUUCAUCUUGAUUCCUCCUGUUAACAACACAUACACACUGCAAGAUGAAAUAGAAAAAGCUACAGGUAGAGAAAUUUCAUUUUGGAUAGUGAGGAAUCAAAAUACACAGUAAAUUCAGAGGCAUCACAUGCUUUUAUGAUAUAUCCUUUCACGUAAAAGCAUAAAAAAACUGUUGAUUAUAUAAAUACAUGUAGCUUGAGAAGGAAGCAAUCCGCCUUAACUUAUUACAUAGAAAAAUGAAAAAGAAAAUCCAAUUUAAAAACACAACACACUGCAGAGAUGUAUGAGACUGCAUAGGAAAAACAAUAAUACAAUCCAAAUGAAGAACACAUCAUACUUUGAGAAGAAAGAGAAAGCAGAAGAAGAAGCGUGGAUUCUGGUUUAUCACAGUGAGGAAUUCCAAUCCAAAUUGAGGGAUGGUUAGUCCUAAUAACUCAGUACUAUAAGAAAAAAAUAAAUAAACAAAGUUAGUGAAUAUUCAGAAAAAUACAUUUCACCUAAAACUGCUAGGAAUAUCCAGCAAAUUCUGCCUCACCAUUUAAUAUCUUAAUAAGAAGCUGAACCAAUUUUCAACAGUUUCUAUUAAAUAUUUGUAUAUAUUCCUUCAUUAACGAAUGUGAAAGGAAAAGAAGAAGAAAGAAAAUACUGUUUGUGAUUUAGUAGUCAUUUGAAGAGUUCAAUGCACAUAUGUAUUUAAACUUUUGAAAUUAUGACCCCUCGUAAAUAUCCAACAAACACAGGUCUGAUGAUUUUCGAGAUAAUUUUCUAAUUUUGUGACCCAAUUUGUGUUUUGUUGGGUAUCAAUGUAUCAUGAUGCAAAUGGAUCAUAUCAGACUAAAAAAAAAACGAUCACACCUCAUUCUAACCUUGAGCAAACAUGAAAGAAACUGAAGUAAGAUAAAAUAAUUUAUUCAAGCGGAAGAGAAUAAGAGAAAUGAUUACCCCAGCGAAUAAAAGGCAGGAAACGAUGUUUAGUAUCUUCAUUCUCCCAUUCCAGCUCAGUUUUCUGUUCUCGAGGAUACAUAUUUAUUUUAAACCCGCCAAGUCGUGGGACACUUGUAGCAUCAAAGGGAAGCUUUCUCAGCUUUGGACAAUCAUAUACUCCUAUGUGCCGCAAUGAUGGAAAGGGGAGAGGACUCCAGUAGAUACUCUCCAGCUCUGGCAGAUUUCUCAGGACUAAGUGUUCUAGUUUCUGAAAUGGUGUAGUACCUGUAAGAUUGGUUGCUUUCUCUUUGUUUAUGAUUUCUUCUAGUUCUCCUUCGAAAAUUUCUAGCCGAGUCAGAUUUGGAGAAAACAGUAGCCAAGUCAGAUCCUUAAUGCCAUGACAGCGAAACAUUGUCACGACGGAGAGGUUGGUAAAGCAUGAGCUUCCUCUGCAUUUAAUAUAUGUAUCAAUCGCCGACACAUGACUACUCACAUGGAGCUCACGAAGAUUCUCCAUACUCAACAGCGAUGACAUAUUGAAUGGCUUUUCCUCAAAUCCCACAAUACCCAGAUAAUUGAUGCAGUUAGCCAACUCGGUAGAGAUCGUUAUAUAUGCUUCAAACCCAACUCGGUAGAGAUCGUUAUCUGUAGAACUUGUAGAUGCUCCAAGAGCUGCAGCUCCUUCAACAAGCUAACAUCUCCAUGAACUUUAGAAUAUCUUAGUUUCAAAAUUCUUAAACUCGACAGCUUUGAUAUCCCACUGAUACUACAAAGACUCUUUGUAAAAGUCAAAUCCAGAUGAAUUAGCUUUUUCAACUCUUGGAAACCAACUGGCAGUUGCUUUAUACUUGUGCCCGACAAGUUAAGAUACUGCAAGGAGGCCAGCUUCGAUAUCUGCCGAUAUCGAUAUUACGUGAUAGAUCCAAAACAACUAGCUUUUGCAUAGAGCCGAUGAAUUCACCCGAGAGAUUCUUCAAAUGAGUAUUACGGAGGAGCAGAGUUGUAAGUUCAGAACACUUGGAACCACAGGUUAUCUUUUUAAGCUCAUUCUUCAUCAAAGACAUCCUUCUCACAGCUCUCCAAUCCUUGACUUUUGGCAUUUCGUGUAAUCCGACUCCUGCUUGAACCAAAAAAGUCUCUUUCUGUUUCCCAAAGUCGGAUGCAAUCCAUAGAGCCAUUUCGCGAACCACGUCAUGCAUCACAACACCUCUUCUACUAUUAGACUGUUCUGUCAGUAAAUUUGCGCGGAUAAGGGUACCAAGUACCUCAUAACCCUUAUUCACUGCCCUUUUAUAAGAUUGGUCUUCCUUGAUGAAUCCUUCGCAUAUCCAGUACUCUAUCAAUUCUUCUUUAUCUUCAGGAAACAGAGCACAAUAGAGGAAACACGACUUGAUAUGUUCACCCGCCAAGCUAUCGUAGCUGAACUUCAGAAUUGGCAGACCUUUUUUGCAUGCUCGACAAUGGCAGGAUCUCUACUUAAUGUGUAGUCUCCUACCUUGCUUUUGAACAAUUCCCAUGCUUCUUCUUGUCCCAAACAGUCGACUUUCAUCGGCUCAUGAUCUCCCAUCCGCCCACAUACUUCCCGAGUGGUGAAUGCUACUUUGCAUCCAUUUUCUCUGGUGGGAAACGGAACUCCGAUAGCUUCUAAAUCCACUUUCUCCCAUAUAUCAUCUAGCAUCAAAACAAAUCUCUUCCCUUUUAAAACUCUGUGUAUAUCGAUUGCCUUGUCACUUUCACUUUUGUUCGUUCCGCCAAGGUUUAGCUUUUGUGCAAUAUCUUCUUGAAGCUUUGAAAUAGUUGCACCUUGAGACACCACGACCCAGAUCACAACAUCAAAUCUACCAGCCAUUUCAGUGAACUUAUUGUGGAUAUUCUUGAAAAGGGUAGUCUUGCCUACACCUCCCAUACCGUGCAAACCAAUGAUUCCAACUCCAUCUUCCAUAAGGCGCUUCCAUGCCUCUCCCAGCAUUGUUUCCUGACCGAUCGUAGGCCCAGUAGGCCUUUCUUCUACUACAGAUCUCAAAACCGGCUCAGUAACCUCUUUAAAAUUACCCUCCGAUUUGAGUUUCUUAACCUCUUUCAGCAACAAGAAUACCUUUUUCCCAUAUUUGUAGCUCGAACAUACACUUUUU